rnacentral:lncRNA from 1 species
CAUGGGAAAAUUUCUAUAUUCAUGUAACUAUGGCGAGCCAUCACCAUUUGAUGGGCUUGCAAAUCCGAGUUUUUUCAUUUUUUUCUGAUUCUUCAUGAGGUCUUUACUGGUAUAGAUGACAACAAUGAGCCAGUUCACAGUGCCUGAAAUCCAAGACACUUCUUCUCUACCGGACUGGCCGCUUCCUGCUCAUUACUGAGCAAGGAGAGAAGGAUUGCAGGAACUGUGGAUGGAGUGUGUAGUUACAAAUAAUAAUUUCAUGUACACUUCCUAUGAUGGAAAGCGGAUCGUGUUGAUGAUUCGUUCAAUAAAAGGAACAUAUGGGAUAUGCUAUUAUCCUCCAUUGUUGAAGUAUGAUAUCUUGCUUUUGUUGGCUAUAAAAAAUUACUCAACAGAAAUCAGAGAUAAUAAUACAAAUUAUAAAGAUACAAUGCAAAUCUCUUAAUCUUCUUAAGAACAUAAAGAUUAAAUAAUCCACCAAUCGAGGUACACAUAAGUUUUAACCUAAUUGGAUAUGAUCAUAUCCACGAUCAUUCUAUUGUAAUAAAAGAAAUAUUAUAAAGAACAUGAUAAGAUAUAAUGAUUAAAUUUCAAAAUAUCUUACAUUCUUUUUCAAAAUAUAUAUAUUUUUUUAUUAAACUAAAUAUCCCUUCUUCCUCACCUAAAAUAUUUAUAGAUAUUCUUAAUAAAUUUUUAUUUUAUAAAAGUUCCAUUAUGAUGAUAUAUGAAUUUAAAAUAUGUUUUUUUUUAAUGAUAUUAGGAAUUCGUGACAUUUUUAAGUGCAAAACAAAUGUACCCUUGACUUCUAUUCCCUUUCUAUGUAUUUGCGUAUAUCAUCCUCUAAGUAAUUAAGUACAAUAUUUGUUCAGCCUAUUGUUUGUAUGGGACGUCCAAAUUAUAUGAAUGAAACUGUAGCUCCUUUGGCUUUUAGCUGAUGCAGAUUGCCAGUACUAUUUGUUGUAAUUAGAAUUACCUAGAAAUUGAGAACACUAUUGUAAAAUACCAAAAUUACAUGAAUAUUGGUUAAAUAGUAAAAACAUACAUCAUUAUUGUAUGUUUGGUUUAUGCGAUUUGUGCGCAUAUCAUUCUCUUUAAACAAAUUGUCGGGUUACAACAAUAUGUUCGAAAAUAGAUCAUCCAAAUGAGAGUUCUUAGGAUAGGUUAAUUGUGGAAUGUGACGACAAAUAUUAUGAAAGAUUUUAUUUACUCUCACUAAAUAUGAAUUGACUUUUGAUAAGAUGAUCAAAAAUUGAUUCACUGAUCAGUAUUGUAUAAUAUACUAAUAUAUUAUUAUCUUAUUUGUUAAAACUCACGUGCAACCCUAUAGAAGCUGGCUCAUGAGACAAAAUCAUGACUAAGCUUUAAUAUAAAUGUAACUAUGUAAGUAACUAGGGACAUUACCCAUAAGAAGUAAUUAGCAUGAUACACAUAAUUGUUCAUUACCAAGGAUUUAAGCAUGUGGGUGAUCACAUAAUAAGUUAUAAAGUAAAGUCGUGUCACUCAUACAUCAUACAAUUAGCUUAACAAUCACAUAACAUAAUUAAUUUAACAGCUGUCAUGUCUUUAUUCCAUUGGACAUUCUCUUCUCCAAAGAGAAGCACUUUGAUAUGUCUUUCUUUAAUUUUCUCUCUUCCUAAUGAUGAAAUUUGAAGUCAUGUUGAUGAAAAUAGAAAGGAAGAAAGGGAUUCUUCUAUCUAUAAUCCAACUAGAAUAUUGAAGUAAAAUUUUUGUGCAAUGUGGGUCAAAUUGGGCAUGCGCUAGAGGUGAUACAUGUUAUAUACCCCCAUGAAUUCAAGUUUAAGUUUCCCUUCCAACAAAUUUCAUUAAGAAUAGUUUUAUUCAAGUAGUGAAAUAUUGGAAGUACAUUCAAUAUUUUCAAAUACUAUAUAAUUAAACAUGUGAGAUAUUAUUAAAAUAUGCACUAGGUAGUGGCAUAUGUGCAUUUCAAUUUCAAUAAUAUUAAUAUGAUUGAUAUAUGCUAUGCUUAUUAUUGCGAUUGCUUAGUAAAACAUGUUAUAACUUGAAAUAAUUUAUAGAUCAAAAUUACUGGCUACACGUGGAUACAAAAACAGUAAGCUUCUAAUUUUCUUUCUUUUGAAUCAAUCAGUGUCUUUUUAUGGGUCAGAUAUUCAGUGUUUCGAGACUGUGACCCAUUUCACCUUUUGAUUAGAGCAGUACCAUAACUAUAUCCAUAUCCUAACUUUGUAGACUUGAUGACCUACCCAUUUUGAGUCUGACAUGACACCACACCUUGGUACCAUUAUAUGACCUUACCAUUUUUGUUCACCUUAGCAUACUACAGUACCAUUGCUUAUUCUUUCCAUCCUUUAUUUGAUCUAACUAGGUAGAGUUUGAGAUGGUUAGACCUGAGGUGAGCUCUGCAUGAUGAUAAAUGGAUCAUGAUGAUAGCGUGGUUUGACUGCUUGAUGAUAUUGCUGAGGCAGAGGGGUUAUCAUGGAGCAUCCAUAUUUGAGCCAUUGCACAUGACUUCAGAGAGUCGAGAUGACUAAAGAUGGUGAUUUUAUGAGACGAUGGUGAAUGACUUAUGAUGAUAGAGUGAGGUGAUUGUCAGAGGGCUUUAAUGAUUAUCACAGAGCAUCGGUGGGAGCUUUCACAUGAUUGCAAAGAAGUUGACAUGGUUGUGUUUGAUAGAUGUUAGUAUUUGGUAUUGACCAUGUGAUAUAUUGAGGGUGUGAUGUAUGUGGUUGUGGUUAAAUAAUGGGUGGUCAUUGUUUCAUGAGCUCAUUUACCCUAUUUACUUUAUCAUCCUCACAUAUAGAGUUACAUGUUGCUAGCCCUUUGAGCCUCACACGAGCAACAUAACCUUUUAUUUCAUCACUUCAUUUACCUAUUACACCAGGUUGGGGACCCUAUAGUGUUUGCAUGCUUUGAUUAAAUACAUCAUGAGUUCUAGACCUGACAUACAUAUUCAGGCCUCAUCUCUCACCCUUCAUUGUGAUAUUUUCCAUUUUGACAUCAUCUCAUCACUUUUUUCGGCAUCACAUAUCACCACUUGUGAUAUUCAUUAUCUAUCUUUUCUCUAAUCAUUGUUUAAUCAACAUUAUCCUUGUUUCACCUUGAGUGGUGGUUUUUCACACAUCACUGCAUGGAGGAUUGUCACAUUCUUUUCCCCCGUUCACCCCAUGGGCAGUAGUUUAGAGGUCUUAGUUUGAGAUGUUGUCUUAUUAGUGAGGAUUCAUGUUAUAUCUGUAUGUGGAGAUGGUUUGAUCAUUUGGGUAUGUAUUUUCAUUGGAGGUCAUUCAUUAUUGAUCAGAGUAUGCACAAAAAAAAAAAAAAAAAAACAAAACAAAGAAUAUAAAAGAUAAUGCAUUUUUCAUUGUACCGUUUUCCAUUGACUACAUGUAUGGAUGUGCUGGUUUGCUUCAUUGAGUUUGUGUGUUAAAGAUAGUUCAUAUGGGAGUUUCUUUUUGAGAUUUUAUCUUAGUAUAUAUUUGGGUGAGAGUAUGAGUCGUCCAUUCGAUUUUCGUGAGAGGCGAGCAACCUUUUUUUAGGAUUUUUGGAUUUUUGCCUUAUUCGUCAUUGCAUCCAUUUUUAUGUGACUACUUUCCAUGUUUAGAUGCAGGUUGACCAUCACUCACUUUCCUAUCUUUUUGUCUUCUUCUAUCUUUAUUUUAUUCCUUCAUUUCACUCUACCUCAUCUGAUUUCUUUCUUUUAUCAUCCUGCUUGAUGUUUGACUUGGGUUUUAUAGGACCUCAGGCGCUAUCAACUCUCCUAAAAGCAAUUGCUUGUAGGAAAGGUGCAUACCAUAGCCUUAUAGUGCAUUCACCUAAGCGCCCAUGGGCGAACACAAGGGGAGUUGAUGGACGCGGCCAACCCUCCGAUGUGCCAACAAUCUCCCCCCCAGCGACACCCCUAGGGUUCAAACCCAUGACCUCGGCUCUGAUACCACUUGUAGGACCUCAGGCGCUACCAACUCUCCUAAAAGCAAUUGUUUGUAGGAAAGGUGCAUACCCUAACCUUAUAGUGCAUUCACCCAAGCGCCCACAGGCGAACACAAGGGGAGUUGAUGGAUGCGGCCAACCCUUCGAUCUGCCAACAGGUUCAAUAUCCACACUUCAUUCUUGCUUAUAUGAUAUGUCAUUCAUUUAUUAUCAUUUUUCAUGUUGGAAUCUUUAUGUCCGCAACUCAUAAUGUUUUAUACGCAUUGCUUCUCAUGCAUGAGGGGUAUAGGGAUUAUAUCAUUGGGAUUAUUGAGCCUAGUUUCCUCUUGUUUCUUUCACCCUCUUACCUUAGUGUAGACCCUCCAUUUUAUUCUCCUAGCACAUGUCCUAUUAGGUAUUUGUUCGAUACUUUACAACAAUUUCCUGGUAGCCCAUUACUACUCGUGUAGCCUAUAUUUUCUAAGCCACCUUGGAGAUUUUGGUUAAGGGAUUUACCUAAUCCCAUUGUGACUUUUGGCAGCCCUAUUUAGACUUAGGAUCACUUAGGCACCUCAGGCUCACUUAGGCACCUUAGUGUCACAAGAUGCUUCACAUGACCCUCUCCAUGGCCUUAUAUAGGAGGAGGAAAGCUUCUAGAGACUUCUAUAGCCAUCUACACUAAGCCAUUAGUGGGAAGAGUGUGGGAGGUUCUAGAAGUGCUUAGAGAUGUCCACACAUCUCUACACUAUGGUGGAAGGCAUGAGAGGAGUCCAAGGCUUUCUAGAGACUUCUAGGAAUCUCUUGUAUAUUCUUGUACAUAGGGUUGUACAUAGAAUAGGGUAGGAUGUUCUAGAAUAUUCUUGAUUUGUAAGGAACCCUCCAAGGUUCUAAAUAGUUCCAUUGGUGCCUAUAAAUAGGUGAGACCCUCAUUUGGCCAAGGCACCACCCAAAUCACUUCCUAACCAAGCAAGUGAGUCUUCAAAGCACUUGUAAAGGCUUCUUUGAGUAAUAAGAGCUUCCAUUCUCUAAGAGUUGACUACUAAGCUUCUUAAGCUUUCGAGUUACGAGCGUCUUAGCCUAGCAAUCUAAGCAUUGGGAGCAAGGUUGACUUAGCAAGGUCAAGCGUCUUGACUUGCCUAAGUGCCGCACGAGCUUAGUGAACGACUAAGUCCGUGACAUUAGGCCCACUUAUGCACCAUAUGUCCACUUAGGCACCUUAGACCCAUUUAGGCACACUUGACCCAUUGGGCAUCACCUUAGGCCCACUUAGGCAUCUUAAGUCCAUUUAGGAACCCUAGGCCCAUUUAAGCACCCUAGGCCCAUUUAGACACCUUAGGCCCAUUUAGGCAUCCUAGGCUCAUUUAGGCACUCUAGGCCCAUAUAGGCACCAUAGGCCCAUUUAGGCACCUUAAGCUCAUUUAGGCACCCUAGGCCCAUUUAGGCACCCUAGGCCCAUUUAGGCAUCCUAGGCCUAUUUAAGCAUCCUAGGCUCAUUUAGGCAUUCUAGGCCCAUUUAGGCACCCUAGGUCCAUUUAGGCAUCCUAGGCCCAUCUAGGCACCCUAGGUCCAUUUAGGCAUCCCAGGUCCAUUUAGGCACCCUAGGCCCAUUUAGGCACCCUAGGCCCAUUUAGGCACACUUGGCCCAUUAGGCACCAUCCUAGGCCCACAUAGGCAUCCUAGGUGUCUAAAAUGCUCAUUUAGACACCUUAGGCCCAUUUAGGCACCCUAAGCCCAUUUAGACACCUUAGGCCUAUUUAUGCACCCUAGGCCCAUUUAGACACCAUAGUGUCAUAUGAUGCUUCAAAUGAGCCUCCUCAUGGGUUUAUAUAGAGCCCAAGAAGUUUCUGGAGAUUCUUGGAGCCAUCUACACUAAGCCAUUGGAGGGAAGAGUGUGGAAGGUUCUAAAGGUGCCUAGAGAUGUCCACACAUCUCUACACUAUGGUGGAAGGCAUGAGAGGAAUCCAAGGCUUUCUAGAGAAUUCUAGAAAUCUCUUAUACAUAGGGUUGUACAUAGAAUUGUGUAGGGUAUUCUAGAAUCUUCUUGAUUUGUAAGGAACCUUCCAAGGUUCCAGAGAGUUCUAUUGGUGCCUAUAAAUAGGUGAGGGCCUCAUUUGGCAAAGGCACCACCCAAAUCACUUCCUAACCAAGCAAGUGAGCUUCUAAGCAUUGUAUAGCUUCCUUUGAAAGCAAUAAAGCUUCCAUUAUUUAAGGGUUGCCUACUAUGCCUUCUAAAGCUUCCAAGUUGUGAGCGUCUUAGCCUAGCAAGCUAAACAUUGAGAGUAAUGCUGACUUAGCAAGAUCAAGGGUCUUGGCUUGUCUAAGUGCCGCACGAGCUUAGGAAAAGACUAAGUCCGUGACACUAGGCCCACAUAGGCAUCCUAGGCUCAUUUAGACACCUUAGGACCCUUUAGGCACCCUAGGCCCAUUUAGGCACCCUUGACCUAUUUAAGCAUCCUAGGACCAUUUAGGCACCCUAGGCCCAUUUAGGCACCCUAGGCCCAUUUAGGCACAUUGGACCCAUUUAGAUGCACUUGGCCCACUUAGGCUCACUUAGGCCCACUUAGGUCACUUUUUAGGUAAUUUUUUGCAUGUUUGCAUGAUUGCAUUUUUUGUAUGACUUGCAUGGCUUGUUUAUUUUAAAGUUGCGUGACUUGACUUUUUAUUAUAUUAUUUUUAUUUAUUUUAUUUAUUAUCUUGUCUUUUUCUUCAUCUAUUUUAUUUCCUUAUUAUUUUGCCACUUUUCCGUAAUGCUUGUCCUUAUUUAUCUAUUUUAAUUUAAUAAUUUUGUGUAAAUAUUUUUAUAUUUUUAUUUUUUAGUACUGUUAUUAUUAUUAUUAUUAUUAUUAUUAUUAUUAUUAUUAUUAUUAUUAUUAUUAUUUUAUUACUUGUCCUUAUUUAUUUGAAAUUUUGUAUGAAAUGUAUGGAAGGUGUGCACGGUAUUGAUAUUUGGAAUGUGAGAUUUCCUUGGAUGCAUGAUCAUUGGAGAUGGAAUGGAUACCAUAUUGAGAUUGGAAGAUACGUUUUGGGAGAAUUUAAGGAAAUGUGGCUCUAGGAGAUAAGGAAACAAUUGAAGAUUGACAUGGCUUGGAGAAAGAAAUUGGAGUUUGAGGUUUUUCUUUAGAAAGAGAGACAAUUAAAAAGAAAAAAGAAAAAGGAAGACUACCAAUUUGGUUUUGGAGGAAUUAUAAGGUCGUGCAUUUAAUGAAGAAAGUAAGUGGGUUCUUUAGAGGAAAGUGAGAUUUUUCCUUAGAAGCAAAAUAAAAGUCAACACCUUUUGUUUGGAAGCUUGAGACCACACUUGGGAAGGUUUUUCAGCACAUUUUUUGAGGAUAUGGUUCAAAAUGAGGGUUGUGUCUAGGUAUGGAAAAGAAAAAUUUAUGGGCAUGAUGAAGAAAGGAUUAAAUGAGAGACUUGGUUUCAAGAAGUGGAUGAAAGAGAGGAUGGCAGAGCAGAUCCUUUCUGAUAUCUCCACCGUGGCUGCAAAAAGGAAUUUGUGGGGGGGGGGGGGGUGCACAUUUUAGAGGAAAUGAUUGAAGGAAGAUUGGAGUAAAAAAUGAAGAACAAGAUUUUUUUUAGAGAGGAUCUGCCAUUUAAAAUAUAGAAGCACCAAAAUUUCUCAAAGGGGAUCUGAGACACCCAAGUUUGAGACACCGCCAAGAAGAAAUCUUCAUGGACAGCCGCACAUGGGAGGAGAGGGUAGUGGUUGCACAUAGGGAGGAAUGACAACCACUUGAUGCUUAGAAAACAUUGAUGAUCAUGUGGUUGAACUUUGAAGAUGCAUCCAUUACAAAGAGCGGGCUGCUACAUGAAAAAAAAAAAAAAGAUUUUUUUAGAGAGGAUGAUUGACGAUUUUGGGUAUUCAAGGGAGGAAUGACAACCACUUGAUGGUUAGAAAACAUGGAUGAUCGUGUGCUUGAACUUUGAAGAUGCAACCAUCAUAGAAAGCGAACUGCUACAUGGAAAAAAGAUGACUUUUUGAGAGAGGAUGAUUCACGGUUUUGGGUAUUCAAGGGAAGAAUGACAACCACUUAAUGUUUAGAAAACAUGGAUGAUCGUGUGCUUGAACUUUGACGAUGCAGCCAUCACUUUGGAUUUUUUUAAAAUUUUCUUAUGUCACUAAUGCUCGGAUCCGUAGAAAUGCCACCAUGCUUUGACUCCACUUUCAUGUUGAAUGUAAGUAGAGAUAUUUACAUUUGAUUGAAGAGAUGUAGCAAUCAUAUUUGAGAAGAAUUGCAACAGCCACUUUGUCAUGCUUAAUGGAGAAAAAAAAAUUCAUGGCAUAUGUGUGAGAUAAGUGGCAAUCACGUGGUGCUGUAAGUGGAUUCUUAAUGGCUGAUUUGUUUUUCCUUGAUACUUAUUCAUGGAUUUCAAUGGUGUUAGGAGGAGAAAGAAUUUUUUUUAAAAGAAAUUUUCAACACGUGGAGGAGAGAGUAGAGAGAAUGGAGUGUUGUUUUUUCUAGUUGUUGGAGUGUUACAUCUCAUAUUGAAAGCAUGGAAUUAAAAAGGAAAGAAGAAAGACUUAAAAUAGAAAGCAAGUUAGAUGAGAAGAGUUAGUUAGAAGAGUUGUUAUUUCAGUUUAUUCUUUACUCUGUUAUUUUGUCAUUGAUGUAUUAUAAAUAGGACUCAAGUCUGAUGUAGUUUUUCAAUUUUUCAGUUUCUGCAAUUCAUUUUCCUUUGUGUCCUAUGUUUCUUGGUGUUUUUCAUCAGUUUCAUAUUCUUCUGAUUCUCAACAUGGUAUCAAAGCCAAACCCUAAAGCUUCCAUAACCUAAAUCGAUCAAUUUCUUCUCAACUUCUGCCUUGCGAAAUUCUACUCUAGAAUUCUCGCAUUGAUUGUCUUCCAGCUUCUUGCAUUUUCUUGAAUAAAUUCUUGAAAAUGAGUUCUGGUGAUUCUCCUCUUGUCAAUCCCUCUUCUAUGCAUCCUUCUUCAUCUAAUUCUUUUAAUCAGCCUCCUAUCAAUCCUUCAGAUGACUCAUCAAGUUCGUAUUACCUACAUCCAAGUGACAAUCCUGGUGCUUUGUUAGUAUCAGAAAUCUUCAAUGGAGAAAACUAUGUUGCAUGGAGUCAUUCAAUAGUCAUUGCAUUGACAGUAAAAAACAAGGUACAAUUUAUAGAUGGUUCAAUUGUUUCUCCCUCUACUGGUCAGCUUGUUAAACACACAGCAUGGUUAAGGGCAAAUAAUCUGGUUCUUUCUUAGUUGAUGAAUUCCAUUUCAAAAGAAAUAUGAAAUAGUUUGUUGUUUGUGGUAUCUGCUGUUGAUAUUUGGAAUGAGCUUAAAGUCAGAUAUCUCAGGAGUGAUGGACCAAGGGUUUUCCAACUUGAGAAAUCUUUGAGUUGAAUCAGUCAAGGUGUUUUGUCUGUCACUGAAUAUUUCAGUACCUUUAAGACCCUUUGGGACGAGUACAUUAGCUAUAGGCCAUUUCCAACAUGCACUUGUGGCAAGAUGGCAACAUGCACUUGUGAACUUUUCAACUUUCUACAAAUCAUAUAGCAAUCUGAUUAUGUACUCAAAUUCUUGGUGGGGCUAAAUGAUUCUUAUGCCUCUAUCAGAAGCCAAUUGUUGCUAACGGUUCCAUUACCAAACAUGUCCAAGGUUUUCUCUCUAUUGCUUCAAGAAGAAAGUCAGAGACAACUCACAAAUUUUGCUACAUAUAAUGAGACUCAUGCUUUGAUGGUAAAGCAAUCCAAUCAGCAUAAUUACUAGCCACAAUCUUUCAAGGACAAACCAAAGAAAUCUGCCCUACACUGUAGUCAUUGUGGCUAUAAUGGUCACACAAUGGACAAAUGUUUUCAACUUCAUGGUUAUCUCCUUGGCUGGAAUGGACUAAAGGGAAAAAGAAAUAUGGCUUAUGCUUAUGCUGCCAUUACUACUCUAGAGGUCCCCAAUCAAAAUAGCAAUGAGCAACAAAAGUUUUGUUUCACUCCAGAGGAAUUUCAUAAACUAAUGGCGCUUGCAAAUUCAGUUCAACCCAAUUCUUCCGAUCAGAAUAAUGUCCAACUAGCUGUUAACCUUGUCUCCAUCUCUCACUUUUCUGGUAAAGUUCAACCUACACUUAAACCAAAAUUUUUUUUUUCUUGUAAUUCUGUUACUUCUAAGACAAAUUCCACUUCAUAUUGGCUUCUUGAUACGGGUGCAACAUACCAUAUGAUUUGUUCACCACUUUUAUACCAUUCUACACCUAAACCAAUUAAUGCAUCCAUCAAUCUUCCUAAUGGUACUACAGUUCCAACCACACACAUUGGUACUGUAUGUCUCUCAAAUUCCUUAUUUUUACAUAAUGUCUUGUGUGUUCCUCAUUUUUCAUUCACUCUAUUAUCCGUUUCCAAACUCACUAAACAAUAUAAUAUUUCUCUUACCUUUACUACUUCUCAUUGCCUUUUACAGGACCAGUCAAUGGAAAAGAUGAUUGGGAUUGCUCUUGAAAAAGAAGGACUUUACCAUCUAAUUCCAGCUUCAUCACAAGCUAAAACCUGCAAUUCAUUUCAGUUUAAUUCUGCUCCUCUUGCUUUGUCCUAUAUUCACAAACACUUAGAUAUAUGGCAUUGUAGAUUAGGAUAUGUAUCUAGUUCAAGAUUCCAUUCCCUCAAACAGAUUGACUCUACUAUCACUCUUGAUCAUACAAAUGAUUGUGACAUAUGUCCUUUAGCAAAGCAAAGAACGCUUCCUUUUUCUGUAUCAUAGAGUAAUUCUAAUAAAAGUUUUGAUUUGAUCCAUUGUGAUAUAUGGGGUCCUUUUAACACUACUUCUUAUUUUGGUUUUCGAUAUUUUUUAACUAUAGUCGAUGACUUCACAAGGUGUACUUGGGUAUACAUGAUUAAAGCUAAAUCAGAAGUGCCAUCUUUAAUCAAAACUUUCUGUAAAAUGGUAGUAAACCAAUUUUCUUCUUCUGCCAAAUCUAUAAGAUCUGAUAAUGGACCAUAAUUCUUACUCACAAAAUUCUAUCUUAAAUAUGGUAUUUUGCAUCAGAGAAGUUGUGUCGAAACUCCUCAACAAAAUGGUGUUGUGGAGAGAAAACAUCAACAUUUACUAAGCACUACUAGAGCCUUAAUGUUUCAAGAAAAUCUACCAUUAAUUGUUUGGAGUGACUGUGUGCUCACUGCUGCCCACAUAAUCAAUAGAAUUCCCACUCCUCUACUUCAAAAUAAAACCCCUUUUGAAAUGAUUUUUAACAAAACACAUAACCUUUCUCAUUUAAGAGUUUUUGGCUGCCUUUGUUUUGCAUCCACUUUAACUAUUCACAGACAAAAAUUUGAUUCACGAGCCACAAAGUGCAUCUUCCUAGGAUAUCCUUAUGAUAUUAAGGGUUAUAAACUUAUGGAUCUAAACACCAAUAAGAUCCUUGUUUCUCGGAAUGUCAUAUUCCAUGAAACAAUUUUUCCUUUCCAAGUAUUGCCCCAACAUCCUGAAACUCAUUCCUUUAUAUUUCAUUUUUCACAAUCCUUUUCAGAUUCACCUUCUACCACCUCAUUCUUCAAUUCCUAUCACAAUAUGGGAUCUGCAUCACCACCUAAUAAUUCUCAUUCUCUCUCUGAACCUCCUACCCUUCUUGAAUCCAACUUACUUACAUUUCUCUCUCCAUCCCAUCUGGAUUCAACUGACCCUGAAGUCCUACAACUCAGAAAUCAACCAGAAUUAAACAAAAACCUUCAUAUUUGUAGGACUAUUAUUGUGGUGAUGUCUUUUUUUUCUCAAAAUGCAACUCAAGCAUCUACUUCAACUGAUUAUUCUCCUACUAAAGGUAAUUUCUAUUCUUUUCACCAUUUUCUUCUACUAGUAGACUGUCUACACCCCAUAAAGCUUUUCUCACCUCUAUCACAAACUCUCCAAAACCUAAAUCAUACACCCAAGUUUCUCACCUCCCCGAAUGGCAAGCUGCCAUGCAACAUGAACUUACUGCUUUGGAGUUAAAUAAAACUUGGGAGCUUGUUACUCUUCUUAAAAAUAAAAGGACUAUUGGUUGUAAAUGGGUAUUCAAAGUGAAAUAUAAAGCUGGUGGAACUAUAGAAAGACAUAAAGCUAGAUUGGUGGCAAAAGGGUAUACUCAGCAAGAAGGCCUCGAUUUCUUUGAUACUUUCUCUCUCCUGUGGCCAAGAUUAUAUCCAUUCGCUUACUACUUGCUGUGGCUGCCGUCAAACAGUGGCAUCUUCAUCAACUAGAUGUCAAUAAUGCAUUUUUGCAUGCUGAUUUACAUGAAGAGGUUUACAUGGAAUUGCCUAUUGGGUUGGCUGUCCAAGGUGAACAGAAAGUUUGUCGUCUUUUAAAGAGCCUCUAUGGCUUGAAGCAAGCUUCCAAGCAAUGGUAUGCCAAGCUAUCCCAGGCCAUUCUUUCCUAUGGAUUUGUUCAAGGUAAUUUUGACUAUUCUAUGUUCAUUAAGAAAUCUAAAAGUUCUUUUAUGGUCUUAUUAGUUUAUGUGGAUGAUGUGCUAUUGGCAAGUGAUAGCAUUCUGGAAAUUGAAAGGUUGGAGACCUUUUUAGAUGCCAAGUUCACUAUUAAAGACUUAGGCCCACUGAAAUACUUUCUUGGCUUGGAAGUUGCAAGGUCCAAGACUGGUAUCUUAUUAUGCUAAUGAAAGUAUAUACUUGACACACUUAAGACAUUGGUUUAACUGGAUCCAAACCUACUGCUUUCCCUAUGGAAUCUACCCUCAAGUUAUCAGCAAAUGAUACCAAUUUCUAUGAAGAUCCAUCAGGUUACCGAAGACUCAUUGGCAUAUUACUUUACUUAACUCUCACUAUGCCUGACUUAGCCUAUUCUGUAUGAGUACUCAACCAAUUUUUAGCAAAACUUGCUGUCAGUCACCAUCAAGCGACUAUUCGAGUACUGAGGUAUCUAAAGGCCACACCAGGGCAAGGUCUCUUUUUUCUUUCUUUUUCAGAUUUUCAAUUAAAGGGUUUUUCCGAUAGUAAUUGGGUAGGUUGUGUCGAUACUAGAAAGAGUGUCACUGGUUUUGCAAUUUUUCUUAGCAACUCAUUGAUUUCAUGGAAAUCAAAGAAACAAGUUAUAGUUAGUCGAUCCUCUAUAGAGGUAGAGUACUGAGCCCUUGCAACUACCACCUGUUAAAUUCAAUGGCUUUUGUAUGCCUUACAAGACCUGGAUUUCAAACAUUCACAGUCAGCUUUGCUAUAUACUGACAGUAAAUCAACAAUGUCCAUCGCCAUAAAUCCAAUUCAGUAUGACAGAACAAAGCACAUCCAGAUUGAUUGCCAUCUUAUUCGCGAAAAAUUGCAGCAGCAUGUUAUUAAGCUUUUCCAUAUUCCAUCGCGAUUACAGCUCGCAGAUAUCUUUACAAAGCCUUUCGGUUCUCUACCUUUUCUUUAUACUCUUCGCAAGAUGAACAUCAUUAACAUCUAUGUUCAUCUUGAGGGGGGAUGUUGGAGUGUUACAUCUCAUAUUGAAAGCAUGGAAUUAAAAAAGAAAGAAGAAAGACUUAAAAUAGAAAGCAAGUUAGAUGAGAAGAGUUAGCUAGAAGAGUUGUUAUUUCAGUUUAUUUUUUACUCUGUUAUUAUGUCAUUGAUGUAUUGUAAAUAGAACUCAAGUCUGAUGUAGUUUUUCAAAUUUUCAGUUUCUGCAAUUCAUUUUCCUUUGCGUCCUCUGUUUCUUGGUGUUUUUCAUCAGUUUCAGAUUCUUCUGAUUCUCAACACUAGUGAUAUCCAACAUUCUGAAGGGGUGAAGAAACACGUUGAUCUGGAUGGAUUUGGAGCAACAUGCCAUAUGUUCUGAUCUUUCAACAGCCCAUGCAUGGACUCUUUCCCACAGACUGCCACUUGGAGAUGUGAGGGUUACAUAGCAUAUUGGGAUUAAAAGAGUUCCCUACAUAGUUCAGAAAAGAUAUAUACAGUACGCAUGAUUGGAGAAUUGACACGUAAGUUGCCAUGUUGAUAAGGAUUGAAGCACACAACCGUAUUCCCCACCAUCAAGGGGACUGACACACAUCAUUGAACACUAGCAUGUACAUUGAGUGCAAGAGAGGGCGACUGCAUCAUUGAUUCUCUAGGGACUAGUAGCCAUAAAUUCUUUUCAAAGUGGGUUGCUGAUUACUACUCAAAAAGAGCAUAUUUUAGAUAAUAAUUCUCAUGAUUUUCACGUCUUUUGAGUAGUAAUUAUGCCUAAAACACUCAAUUAACAUGUUGUCUCCCUUGCAAGAGUUACUAACAAGUUUUAUGAAGUUUUGAAGUCAUUUCAAGGUAUUUUUUUGAUAAAUUGGUGACAAAAGAGAUGAAUCAAAUUGAAAAAAACAAAUAAAGUUGAUGAUGAUCCAAAUGCAUAAUGAAAAAAGCAAUGCAAUCGGUUUGGAUCGGGAUUUGGAGGUAGUUGAUGUGGAAUCAAGAGAAAGAAAUGAGAGAAAUUGCAAAGAGGAAUCGAAAAAGCAUGUUUUUCAAUUUUGCAUGACCAUGCGAAAUUUUCGCACAGUCAUGCGAAAUGAAACAUAAUAGACUUGGCUGCAGCACACAAAGGAAACGUGAAAAGUGAUUUCGCAUAACCAUGCGAAGUUUUCGCACAGUCAUGUGAAACGCUCCAGGAAGACGAAAAUGAAGCUGAUGGACUUUCCACUUCGCACCAUCAUGCGAAAUUGCUGGGGGCUCAUGCGAAAAUGCAUUUUCUCCAAAUUCCUUGAUGAAUAAGCAUCCGGAAGACCUCUUAGAUGAUGUCAAGUGUCCUCUUGACCUUGGCCUAUAAAUAGAAACGUGAUUGACUCAUUUGAGGACUUUUGAUACAUUUUCUAAUUGUAGAACUUUUUUGAUUUCUUUUCUCUAUAUAAUUCUCUACUUUCCUUCAUUUUCUCUCAUUUUCUCGGUAGCCAAACAUAUCUUGUGAGAUCAAAUCUCCAAGCAUGAGUGGCUAAAUCUCAUUUUUCUCGGAAGAGGGAGGAUCUAGAGGUAAGAUCUAUGGUGAAUAAGAGAAUUGAACUUGAAUUGCAAAGGUAAUUUGAUCCAAUUGAUUGAUUAAUUGAAAUUUGGGGAUUUUUCUCUUCAAAUUGUCUUGGAUGAUUACUAAAAUGCAAGCUAGGUAGAUUCAUCAAAUUCUUAAUGCUAGAUUUGAUGAAAUUGAAUAGUUGCAUAGUAUGAAUCAUUGGAAGAUAAUUUAAGAUGAAUUGAAUAUAUGAUUCAAAUUGAUCUCUUGGAUUAGAUUACCUAAUUUGAAGAGAGAUUAGAUCUAGACCUAAAGCUAAAUCAAAAAUUGGUUUAGAUGAAGAUUUAGGUUUUCAAUCUAACUUAAUGAAAAUUAGAUCUCAACGCCUAUUCACCAUAGAAAUUGCUCUCUAGAAAAUCCUAACUCCAAGAAUCUCACCUCUUAUUAAUUUUCUUCUCUUUUACACUUCAUUUUCCUCUCAAUUUGAAAGCAUUGUUAUUAUGAAAUUUUAUCAUGCAUUUUCAAAUCAAUUUCAUUUGAUCACAAUCAUUUCUUAUCAUCUCAUUUAAGCCUUAAUUACCAAGAAUAAUCCAAUAUUGUGGACGGAAUCCCUAAUGGCUUUGUGGCCCGACCCACACGCUGUGUUAGGUUCUCGUUGCGGGAGAUCUUGGAACGUGCCUGUCGUGUGAAUGCGCAUACAAAUAAGGUCACUAUUCGCCUACUACUAAUAAGGGCGGAUAGUGGAUUCUAGAUUAUAUCUUUUGGGUAGGCUAGACUGGGGUUCUGGGAAAAUCUAUAACCACUAUACUACAGUAGUUUGUACUAAAACCACUUUUUGAUCAGGUACAAAUUGCUAUAGAAUAGUGAAUUGGGUUAUAAAUUUUGUUUUGAUCCAACAAACGACAAAAUCCGAGCGAUCAAAAAUGACGCCAUUGUCGGGGAUGGUGCCAAGGUGAUUAAGGCUAAUUUUUUUGGUGAGGAUUAACCCUUGUGAUCCACAUCACAAGAUUGGUGAAGUUCUCUUUACCAAUUUUCCAUUUUUUUAUUAUUAUUUUUAUUCCAUUUUUUAUAUUUUAUUUUUCUCUUUUGUUUUUUUUUGUUUUGUUUUGGUUUUUCUUAGCUUGUUUUGUAGGCUCUCCAUUGCAUGCUACAUUGAGAAUAGAACUCAAGGGAGAGAUUGAAAAGGACUUAUAUUGCUAAUCAUUUUUGGUUUGUGAUCCAAUUGUUGAGGAAAUGGAAAAUCAAGGGGAAAAUCAACAAACUCAACAAGAACCAAACAAUGGCAAUUCUCACAUGUCUAGAUCAAUGAGAGAAUAUAUGCAUUCACAAAGGAUAGGCAUGGGAUCAUGUAUAGUUCUUCCUAAUGAACCUAUUGUGAUAAAAACUCACUUGGUACCACUUCUACCGCAAUUUCAUGGAAUGGAGAAUGAGAAUCCUUACACUCACAUCAAGGAUUUUGAAGAAGUUUGUCAUACUUUUCGAGAAGGGACUGCAUCCAUAGAGCUUAUGAGAUUGAAGCUUUUUCCAUUCACAUUGAAGGAUAAGGCUAAGUUGUGGUUCAACUCAUUGAGGCCCCAAAGCAUAAGGUCAUGAUUGGAACUACAAACAACUUUCUUGAAGAAAAUUUUCCCCAUACAUCGCACAAGUGGCUUGAAAAGGCAAAUUACCAAUUUUGUGGCAUUGGACAAUGAAAAUUUUUAUGCUUGUUGGGAAAGAUAUAUGGAAGUAGUCAAUGCUCGUCCUCAUCAUGGUUUUGAUACAUGGAUGUUGGUGAGUUACUUCUAUGAGGGCAUGUCGCCAACUAUGAAGCAAUUGCUAGAAACCAUGUGUGGAGGUGACUUUAUGAGCAAAAGUCCCGAUGAAGCCUUUGAAUUUUUGAAUUAUGUGGCUGAAAUAUCAAGGUCAUGGGAUGAGCCACAUGAAAGGGAUUUACACAAGUCCAAGUCUCAAAGCAAUUCAAAAAAAGGGAUGUAUAUGUUGAAUGAAGAUGUUGAUUUACAAGCUAAAAUGAUAGCUUUGACAAAAAGGCUAGAGGAACUUGAAGCUAAGGGAUUUCAUGAGGUGAAUUCGAUAUAUGAUAAUCCAAUUUACAUGGAGCAAUGUUCUAGUUGUCAACCUAUAGAACAUGAAGUGAGUGAUUGUCCUACAAUACCAACUAUGGGGGAAAGACCUGUUGAGAAUCAUCCGAACAUGUCAUGGAAUUGUGGAAAAAAGAUCCUUCCACAAACGACAAAAUCCGAGCUAUUAGCUGCCACGCUGCCACCUUUCAAAUACCACACAUGGAUGCCUUGGAGUUUUAAUUGACGCACCAAGAGAUCCUUCCACAAUUGUAUACAUAGCCUGCAAUGUAAAGGAAGGUGAAAGACAUUGCAACAGUUUGAUUCAAUGAGGAAAGGUAAGUAAAGGUUUUGAGUUUUGGUUUUUAAAAAUUGAAAAUUCGGAAUUUUGUUAAUUAAGCUUCAAUUCUUUGUUUUAGACAAAAAAAAAAAAAAAAAAAGUUAUGAUCUUUGUUUCGAUUUAGUUUUGAUUCUUAUAUUAGUUCGAAAAUGUUUAUUUAUUUUUUUGUUUUAGUUUGAUUCUUUGACUUAGAUUGGAGAAGUUUGAAACUUUGUUUUGGUUUUGGUUUUGGUUCAUCAUGAUAGUUCUAUAAAGCUUGAUAUUUGUUUGGAUUCAUUUUUAUUUUCAAUAAGUUAGAAUUAUGUUAUAUUUGAGUGUUAUAUGGGACGUUAUAUUUGAUUAAAUUGUUAGUUCUCUUUAUCUUUGAUACUUAUUUUAUAAGCACCUUAGAGAAUUCUUGAGUUUGAACUUUCUUUAGAAAAAGUUUUUCAUUAAAUUGACAUUUUGAGUUGAGUCAAAUUUUCUUUUUUCAAAAAUAAAAUUUUCCAUCAUAAGUUUGGCUCCUUGAUCCCAAAUGAAAGGUAGCCAAAAAGAGGAUCCAAUUUAGUUUUUCUCUUAUUUUCAAAACCCUCUCAAGUUAGAAAUCAAAAAUCUCUAUUUUGUAUCUAUUGUAUGGGAUUUAACAAACCAUUGGGUCCUUUUUUUUUUACUUCCCUUAAAUUCAUUUUCAAAAUCAUUUAAAUCACAAAUAAAAGGUUUUAGAAAACAUUCAUUCUAGCUUUAGGCAAAGAACACACUUUCUAUUAAAAUUAUGCAACUAAUUUCAUUUAAGUUACAUUUCUCCUUUGUUGUUUUUUUUCAAAAAUUUGGUUUUUAUUCACAUAGGUUUGGACUUGUAAUCCCAAAACUAAUGGGGAUACACAGGUAAAACUUACGGAAAUUGAAUGGGGACUUGAUGGAACCCCUACAUAAGAAAAUUUUUCAAAACUCUUUCUUGCUGCCAAUUUUCACUCAACCACUAACCUUCUAGAUUUAAAAUUCGUUUAAGCAAAUUUAGAAUAUUUUUUAAAAAAAUUCCAAAACUUGUAUGACUUUCCUCACUUCUUGAACUUGAAUUUAAAGUUUUGUUUGAUUUAGAAAGUCAUUUUAGAAUAGAAGAUAUAAACGAGUCUUUACGGGGGCUCCGUUUUCACCCAAUUCUAGACACUCGAGAUCUUUUUGAAAAAAUAAAAUACAAGAAGACUUUUUAAAUUUGAUUGAAUAUUGUUUCUCAAUUUUAGGCUUCUUGAAAUGGAUCUUAGACACAUAAAAUAUUAAAAAAUAUGUCUUUUUGGGGGAGAUAUGAUUUUUCAAAGUCGUACCUACUGUGAAUACUGGAUUCUGGACAUCUGAUUAGUUGGAGCAUUGUAAAAAUAUUUUUGAGUAUUACCCAACCCUGAAUUUAUUUUUCUUGUGAUAUAGACACCUUGAAAGAUGUAUGUGAUUUUUUUAUGAAUUUAUGUGAUUAUUUAUUAUUUUAAAAAAAUUGUUUAUGCAUGUCACUUUUUCUUAUCUAAUUUGGACUUUGUAGAACCUUUAGGUGUCUUUGUUGCAACCUGUCCUUUGAAUGAGUGUUUGGAUUUCGGUAUGUUGAUCUAGAUGUGUAGGAGUCAUUUCCUGAUAUUUUUCAUAAUUAAAUUCCACUCUAAGCCAUUUUUUUUAGAAAUUGUUUUGUGAUGAUUCCUUUUCUAACAACAUGCUAAUGGUUUUAUACUUUACUUGAAAUUGUUAUUAUUUUCGGAGUCAUUUGAUUUAUCUUAGCUUAAUUUUGGCUUUGGCACUGUAUAUCAAAUAUAAUAAAGAUGUUUUUUGAUAUAUACUUGCCCUAACCACUCUAGCAUUUUUUUAGGAAUCUUAUAAAUUAUGCAUGCUAUCCAGGUACGCUCUCUAUCACUUACUUUUCAGAAUUCCAUGAACAUACAUGUUGUUAUGAGCCUUAUUUAUGCUUGAUAAGAUCCUUAGAUGCCUAGAUGUAUGUUUGAUUUUCUUAGAUAAAAUACAUGUUGUGUGCUAUAUUUUUAUACUAACUUUGAUGUUUUAUGAUAGCGUAUAAGAAGCAGUCUAGGUACACACCUGAUUACUACUCAAAAAGAGCAUAUUUUAGAUAAUAAUUCUCAUGAGUUUCACAUCUUUUGAGUAGUAAUUAUGUCUAAAACACUCAAUUAACAUGUUGUUGCCCUUGUAAGAGUUACUAACAAGUUUUAUUAAGUUUUGGAGUCAUUUCAAGGUAUGUUUUUGAUAAAUUGAUGACAAAAAAGAUGAAUCAAAUUGAAGAAAACAAAUAAAGUUGAUGAUGAUCCAAAUGCAUAAUGAAAGAAGCAAUGCAAUCGGUUUGGAUUAGGAUUUGGAGGUAGUUGAAGUGAAAUCAAAAUGAAGAAAUGGAAGAAAUUGCAAAAAGGAGUUGUAAAACCCUGUUUUUCAAUUUUGCAUGAACAUGUGAAAAAUUCACACAGUCAUGCGAAAUGAAACAGAAUAGGCUUUGGUUGCAGCACACCAGGGGAAAAGUGAAAACUGAUUUCGCAUGACCAUGCGAAAUGCUCCAGAAAGACAAAAUUUGUGCUGAUGCAUUCUCCACUUCGCACAAUUGUGUGAACUUGUUGGGGCUCGUGCGAAACUGCAUUUUCUCUAGAUUCCUUGGUGAAGAAGGCUUCAGAAGACCUCUUAGAUGAUGCCACAUAUACACUUGACCUUGGCCUAUAAAUAGAAACUUGAUUGACUCAUUUAGAAACUUUUGAUACAUUUCCUAAUUGUAGAACUUUCCAGAUUUCCUCUCUCUAUAGAAUUUUCUACUUUUCUUCAUUUUCUCUCUAGCCAAACAUGCCUUGUGAGACCAAAUCUCCAAGCAUGAGUGGCUAAAUCUCGUUUUUCUUGGAGAAUGGAGGAUUUAGAGGCAAGAUCUAUGGUGAAUUAGAGAAAUGAACUUGAAUUGCAAAGGUAAUUUGAUCCAAUUGAUUGAUUAAUUGAAAUUUGGGGAUUUUUCUCUUCAAAUUGUCUUGGAUGAUUACUACAAUGCAAGCUAGGUAGAUUCAUUAAAUUCUUAAAGCUAGAUUUGAUGAGAUGAAUAGUUGCAUUGUGUGAAUCAUUAGAAGAUAAUUUAAAAUGAAUUGAAUAUAUGAUUUGAAUUGAUCUCUUGGAUUAGAUUACCUAAUUUGAAGAGAAAUUAGAUCUAGACCUAAAGCUAAAUCAAAAAUUGGUUUAGAUGAAAAUUUAGGUUUUCAAUCUAACUUGAUGAAAAUUAGAUCUCAAUAUCUAUUCACCAUGGAAAUUUAUUUCUAGAAAAUCCUUACUCCGAGAAUUUCAUCUCCUAUUAAUUUUCUUUUAUUUUACAUUUUAUUUUUCUUCUCAAUUUUAGACCAUUGUCAAAUUGAUUUUUCAUCAUGAAUUUUCAAAUCAAUUUCACUUUAUUACAAUCAUUUCUUAUCCUCUCAUUUAAGCCUUAAUUACCGAGAAUAAUCCAUCCUAGUGGACGACACUUAAAAACCACUAUACUACGGUAGUUUAUACUAAAACCAUUUUUGAUCGGGUAUAAGCUACUCUAGAAUAGUGAAUUAGGUUAUAAAUUUUAUUUUAAUCAAAUAAACGACAAAAAUCUGAGCGAUCAUCACCCUAAAUUUUCUUUCUGGUUUGUAAUUGGUUUUCUUAUUUAGCAUGUUAUUUUUUGGAAAUCACCUUAGUUUACCUAGAUACCCUCAAUCAACCGAUUAAUUGUCACAUUCCCCUUAACUUAGUCAGUAGAGACCUCUUUAAGGCUUAGAGUGGUGCUACCUCUUAGAGGUAUCUUCCCAAUAGGUAACCUGAUCUCUAGACCUUGACUCGGGUUUUUCACAGACACACUUUUCCAAAAACUAUAGAGUCAUUUUUUAGGGUUUUAUUUCUUAUUUUAUUUUUCCUUUAAAAUAAAAAUAAAAUAAGUGGUGACUCCAAUUUUUCUAAAACUAUUUUUUCACAAAUAAAAGCGAGUCUCACGAUCGAGUGGGAGCACACGUGAGAAAUGCUGGUCCACAAAUUGGCGACUCCACUGGGGACUAUGAGGAUCAAACUUGAACACUAUUUGAGGAAAAUGUGGCAUUUAAUCGGUCGAUUAGAAGGUACCUCCUUUUUUAGGUAAGGUUAUCUGAUCUUCUUGCUUGUUUGGUAUGCAUCUUAACAUGUUUAAUUGCCUUGAAUGAUCACUUGACUGAUUUGUUCAUUUUAGCAUGAUUCACUCUCACAUAUGCUAGAAAUGACUUAGUUUGUAUGAUACAUAUCUAUUUCGCAUGACUGUUUGUUGCAUGACAACCAUUUCUCUUGCAUGAUUGCUUGUAUUUGUUUACUAUCUCACUUUAAAUCUUAGGUUUUUCGGAUGCACCUACUUCAUUCACUGUGCACUUUAGAUUAUCCUCGAAUGUUGAGAUAUGAGAUAGCCUUCACCAUUAAGAAACCCCUUGGGAACAUGAGGAAGUGCAUGUGUGCAGGUGAUGACCACUUUGCAUGGAAGCACCAUGUCUCUUUUAAGGUGUGCAGAGGGUUGCGUACCACCGGAGGGUACGAUCGCUUCUGCUAAGGAUCCUUUAACCCACCCAUUUUAUCUUAUAGAGCCACCUUAACCUUAUAGGUUAGCCUAGACCCAAUUAAGAUUUCACUCUUACACGUGGGUGCAUUUGUGGACCUUCUGAGCUGCCUUAGUCACAAUUGGGUUCAGUUACCCUCUUCAUGGUCUCCUUUUGGUGUGCUCAGAGAUUGGUACAUGUUUGUGUUUCAAUUGAGCCACAUUUUUGCAUUGUAAUUAGUGCAUUUCCACCUCUUUUGAGCUUCAUUUGUGUCAUUUAUCUUUUCGUGUCUUUGUACCUUAUAGGAGUGUUAUUCGCUUCAAUUUAGAUUUGACUUCUUAUAUUGGAGUUGGAGAUAGAUUGAUCAGGGUUUCAAAGCAAUCAGGUAUGGAUCCUCAGCAUGAUACAAUUGAUCGACUUACAAUCGCCAUGACUCUAUUCAGGAGGCAUUAGUAGAUUUGAGCCAGAUGAUUGAUAGACGGUGAGAUAGAUCACAUCUAGUUCAUGAUGAGAUGUCAUGUGAUUUAUUGCCUCCCACCACCCAGUUAGCCAGUGACAUUGUUAAGGGUGACAUCGUACAUAUGAUGAGUUUAGUGGAUACUGAGUCAAAGUUCAUCGGAUGAGAGUUCUUAUAGAGGAUGUUGUUUUUUCUCUAAGAUGGAAGAUUUGAUUGACAUGGUUUUCUUCAUGAUGAGCCUGAGAUUGAUGUAUUGGAUUAUAGUUGGAUGGUUAGCACAAAUUAGCUAGAGAUAGUUCACUCUCUUGAUAUGCUUGAAAUCUCCAUCGUUGAGAGUUCAGAAGAGAUUCAGUUUAUUUAUGUUAGGGCAUCCCGCUUAUGUUGAUGAUAUGUUUGAGGACGAUGUUAGCCCAGUUAUGGUCAUAGAGAUUCGUCUAUUCUAGGAGACCCUAGGGACUUACUUAGAGUACACCACAUGUCAUUAGAGAGUUAACCAUAGAGAGGAAAUAUGACUGAUAUAUCUGGAUAGAGACUAAUUCUCAAACCUUACCAAUGUGGAUCAGUUGAAGAAGUAUUACAUUUGAGACCAUGGUCGCAGGAUGGGUGGCCAUAAUUUCGAUUAGCCUUACACUUUAUCACUUCUAUCUAUAUAUUAUAUCGUUGCUAGCCCAUUGAUCCUCAUGUGGUACGUUAAAGCCUUUUUCUCUUUCUUAUAGCCUUGAUUACCAUUUCUACACUCGGGUUGGGGCCCUUUGAUGUAUAUGCAUGAUUUGCUAGGAAAGUCUCAUGAGCUUUAUACUUAUAGACCUAUCUUCUCAUUCUUGUUACUAUUCUCUUAUCAUCCCAUUUGUUUUAUUUUACUAUCACCAUAUUUUCAUUCUUUUUCUUGCUUUUAUCAUUAUUUGCUUUAUUUUAUCUCUUCUCUUCCUUGGGUUGAUGAUUCUUCACAUCUUGGUACAAAAGAAGGUAGUCAUAGCACUUCAUUCAUCCCAUCAUUUGGCAUUGAUUCGGAGAUUUUAGUUUGAGAGGUUGUCUCAUGGGUUGGGGGUUCAUGUAUUCAUUAAUGAUUUGAGAGAGUUUGUUCAUUCCUUACUUCUUUCCCAUUUGAGUUCGAUUUAUUGAUGAUUAAAGCAUGCACAUUAAAAAACAACAAAAACAACAACAAAACAAAAAAACAAAAAAAAAUCAAAAAAAAAAAAAUGCAAUGAUAUGUUUGUGUAUGGUAUCUUGCUCCAUUGGGCACUUAUGUCACCUUUUGAGGUCUAUUUAUUAGGCAUAUUUGUCAUUAUGAGUUCUUGUGAGAUUUUUAUAUGAGUUUCCACUCCUUGAGCCACUCUUGUUAUGCAUUAGGAGUGUCAAGGGUUCAUGUGAGUGUUCUAUGAGAUCCUAUACUUCUUGGAUCAUGGUUGAUAUGCAUUAGGUAUGAAAGAUAAGUGACCUUUUACUAGGGUCUUUGAAUCAUUGUCUUAUCCAUCAUUCCAUCAUUGGUGAUAUGACUUUCUUUUAUUGUACUGAUAUGGGUUGAUCAUCAUUCAUUCCACUUUCUCAUUGCCUUAUUUUGUAUCUCAUCACCUCUUUCCAGAUCUUCAUUCCACUUUUUAUCCAUUCCCUACAUAUUGAUACACAUUACAAAUUCGAUAUCUUCUUCACAUCAUUCACAUGUUUCAUUGAUGGUUUGACCACUCAUCAUUUUUCUUGUUUCACCAUCAACAUUUUCUUUGGUUACCUUUAAGUCUAUGGAUCAUGAGAUUUUUCUAUUCAUUACAUCUUGUACACGAGGGUAUGGGUUUGAUCAUUGGGUAUUUGAGCCUAGUUUCCCUUCAUUUCUUAUACCUUAUCACCCUGGCUUACGUUACAUCUCAUGUCUUAAGACCACCCUAAGGCCAUGAGAUCAAAUGCUAUCUUUGAUAGCCUCUACUUAGGCUGGUGUUUGGGAUUUGGUUGACAUAUAGACGUCGUCCUAUUUUUUCUUCUAGGGGAUGCUUCUUUGAUGCUUGGAGGUGAUUUAGUGAUGGAUGUAGACAAUUGCUUCAUCUUAUAGAUGAUAUUUAAUGUCGUCUGGCUCCCCAUUCUACUGUGUAUCAACUAUCAUACUGGGGCAUAUUCCCCUUUCAUUUGGUUGAGAUGAGCCCCUACUUUGAGCAUUGGCAUUUUCAUCGAUCAAAGUUCUCUAAUGGAGCAUUGUUGAGCUCAUUAACGAUUUUCAUGAUUCUAGGUUCCAUUUGCGGAGUAUUUCUGAGAUGGACUAGUAGAUUAUUGUUGAGCUGGGGAUAGCUGAUUGAUGAUGUUUGAUUCAUUCUUUGUUGUGCACCAGAUAUCCACACUGGGGCAUAUUUCUCCUUUUUUCGAGAUCCUUAGUCGUGGUUGGGUUGUGUGGCUAUCCUUGAUCUUGAUUAUUAAGAUGCUUGAUUGAUGUUAGUAGAUGGUUUAUUGAUGAUGAAAAAUGUGUGACAGGUGAUGUCAUAUUCUUUGUUGUGUACUAGAUAUCCAUACUGGGGCAUAUUCUCCUCUCCUUGUCAAGAUUUUGUUUGCACAGUGGUAUGAGGACGAAUGAUUGAUGUUGGUUAUUUACCUCAUGACUUUGACAUCAGAUCUUAUACUAGUGCAUAUUUCUCCAUUUCCUUUUAGUAUCCUUGAGAUUAGGACAACAGUCAUCUUGGUUUUAGAUUGAGUACUAGUAUGGGGCUUCCGACGAUUGACUGUAUCAGGACCUCCCUACAUGGAUUUGUUGAGACAGAGAUGGAUUACAUCAAGUUUCAUUCGAGGAGCAUAGGUGGAUCCUUUAGCCAGAUGCUCAUGAGAUAUAUUGUUUUGGUCAUUGAUUACCUUGCCGGUUGGGUUAUCCAGAUGAGCGGUAUUUUUAUGCACUUUGAGAUUUUCUUUUAGAUAAGUCGCGUUUACACACUCCAAGAUUUACGUUUUGAGAUUCGUCAACAAAGAAGCUCUUGAGACAUAGAGAGUUCUUUCAGUUUAGAUUUCUCAGAGGUUCGUCAUGAUACAUUGGUUUCUAACCCAUUGAUUUCAGCGGAUGAUUGAUUUACUACGUGUUUCAGCAAUGUGAACACAUUGGACACUAGGGCAUAUUUCCUUUCCUAAGCCUAGUAGUCCAACCCCUUGCAUUUUGAGCAUACGACUUUUAGCCCAUUUGCUUCUCAUCCACUUUCGAGUUGGUCUUCUUUAUUCGUGACAUUUAGAGCCCAAAGCUCUCGACCUAGAGUCGUUUUUCAUUCAUGACCCAAAGUAAUUUCUUUUCCAUUUAGAGCUCAGAGCUCACGACCUAGAUUUGUUUUUAAUUUAUGAACCAGAGUCAUUUUUUUUUCAUUUAGAGCCCAGAGCUCUCGACCUAGAGUCGAUUUUUCAUUUAUGACCUAGAGUCAUAUCUUUUCCAUUUAAAGCCCAGAGCUCACGACCCAGAGUCGUUUUUCAUUUAUAACCCAGAGUCAUUAUUUUCCAUUUAGAGCCCAGAGUUCUCGACCCAGAGUCAUUUUUCAUUUAUAACCUAAAGUCAUUUCUUUUCCAUUUAGAGCUCGAAGCUCUCAACUUAUAGUCGAUUUUCAUUUAUGACCCAAAGUCAUUUAUUUUCCAUUUAGAGCCUAAAGCUCACGACCUAGAGUCGUUUUUCAUUUAUGACCCAAAGUCAUUUCUUUUCCAUUUAGAGCCCAGAGCUCUUGACCCAGAGUUGUUUUUCAUUUAUGACCUAGAGUUAUUUCUUUUCCAUUUAGAGCCUAGAGCUCACAACCCAGAGUCGUUUUUCAUUUAUGACCAAGAGUCAUUUCUUUUCUAUUUAGAACCUAGAACUCACAACCUAGAUUCAUUUUUCAUUUAUGACCUAGAGUCAUUUCUUUUCCAUUUAAUUAGAGCCCAACACUCUCGACCUAGAGUCAAUUUUUUCAUUUAUGACCUAGAGUCAUUUCUUUUCCAUUUAGAGCCUAGAGCUCACGACCUAGAGUCGUUUUUCAUUUAUGACCCAAAGUCAUUUCUUUUUCAUAUAGAGCUCAGAGCUCUCGACUCAAAGUUGUUUUAAAUUUAUGACCCAGAGUCAUUUUUUUUCAAUUUAGAGCCUAGAGCUCUAGACCUAGAGUCGUUUUUCAUUUAUGACCCAGACUCAUUUCUUUUCCAUUUAAAGCCCGAAGCUCUCGACCCAAAUUCGAUUUUCAUUUAUGACCCAAAGUCAUUUCUUUUCCAUUUAGAGCUCAAAGCUCUCGACCCAGAGUCCAUUUUUUAUUUAUGACCUAGAGUCAUUUCUUUACUUUUUAAUACUUAAUAGAAAUAAAAUAUUACAAAGACAAAAACCUAAUAUUUAACACUAUUAACUAUUAAGUUAUAUUUAGAAUUAAGUAAAAAAACAAACACCACCUUAGUGUUCAGAUAAAUGAAGACAGACACGCCCCGUGUAAUGGGCAAUUGGGCGCACCAAAUUUGUAAUCCUAAGGCCAAACACCAAGUUCUAUGUUGACCUGUUGUACUUGUCAAAUGGAUGUUCGAUCUGAGAAAUGUUUUCAAAAAUAAUUUUUAGAAACAAAAUUUUAGAAUAAUUUUUAAAUAUUGUGCUAUAAUAUUUUAUAAAGUAGAAGUUUGUUUAGAAGCCCUAAAAUAUUUUUACUUCCAAUGCAUGUAACAUUUAAAAUUUUUUAUUAAAAUAAUUAUUUUCAAAUAUUAAAAAUAUUAAAAACGUUUCCUAAAAUCAAUAUCAAAUAUAUUUUAAAUAUGUUUUAAAAUGUAAUUUUGCAUGUAAUAUUUUAUGUUUUUAUUAUUAGUAUUUAUAUAAUUACUUUUAAAAUAGUUUUUCAAAAAUAAAUAAAAAUAAUUAAAAAAAAUUUAUUUAAAAAUACCUUAUAAAAAAACUUUGUCCUAUUUUCUGAUUAUGAAAUUUGAUUCUCUUUUUUUUUUUUUAUAUUAAAGAAUAGAAUAUUAUUCUAUAAACAUAGUUAACAAAGUGGUCUGAAUUCCCAGAUUGUCUCCCUAUUUUGGAAUUAUGAUGGGCGGCCUUUCUGUGGCAGCAGGAGGCUCAGUGGGCGGAAUGGAGCCCAUUUUGCAAGCAGGCCACAAAGUCGUUUGCUUUUCGUGAUUGUACUAGAAAUUUCUCUUGAUUUGAUGGCAAGAAAUCAUUGGUUUCAUUUCAAAUAUAUAAAUAAUAUAAUCAUCAGAAUAACGUUUUGGAAAAUUAGACAUUUGUGAAGAUAUAAAUAUAUAAAAUUUUAUCAGAAAUUGGUAGUUAAAAAAUGUUAUUAAAAAAAGGAGGGGAAAAUAUUGAUGGAGUUGAAGACGACAGAAGCUGGCCUAAUUUCAUAAGUCUUCAAAUUCUAUGCAACUUGAGUGUCUCCAAAAUUUAGAAUUUAAAAAUUCGUCCCAAGCCUAACUUUUGUUUACUUAAUUAAUCAAAUGUCUGCCGUGCUAUUAGACCAUCCAACCUCCAUCCUCCCUAUAAAUACCCUCAAAUCUUCAAACCAAGACCAUUCACAUUUUCACAUCUCCCCUCACUCACCUCCUCUUCUCUUCUUCGUCUCGAUCCUCUCCCCAACAUGAAGUCCCUAAAGCUCGUUAUUCUCAUGCUGGCCCUGCUCUUGGUCAUGGCUGAUAUACGCUCAGUCUCAUCAGCUGAAGAAGAAGACUUCAUGUUUCAUCUAGACCAGGAUGACAGCAUCGCUGCUGAAGCUGAAAAUUCUGAUCAACUUCCAUUACUUGAAAGCGAGCAGCCGAUAUCGCUUAGGGGGACUAGCCGCUUUCUGACGGAGGCGGCCCGGAUCAAGGUGACGUGCGACAAGUACCCUACAGUAUGCCGAGCCAAGGGAAGUGCAGGGAAGUACUGCUGCAAGAAGAAGUGUGUGAAUGUGAGGACGGACAGGCUCAACUGUGGGGCGUGUGGGAAGAAGUGUAGGUACUCUGAGAUUUGCUGCAAAGGGGAGUGCGUCAACCCUUCUUCAGACAGGAGGAAUUGUGGGGGCUGCGGCAAGAAGUGUAAGAAAGGGAGUCUCUGCGUGCAUGGGAUGUGCAGCUACUCGUAGAUUUCUGAGCAUUGUUGCUUUACAUGGUAAAAUUUCUAUAUUCAUGUAACUAUGGCGAGCCAUCACCAUUUGAUGGGCUUGCAAAUCCGAGUUUUUUCAUUUGUUUUUUUUUUUUUUCUUCUGAUUCUUCGUGAGGUCUUUACUGGUAUAGAUGACAACAAUGAGCUAGUUCACAGUGCCUGAAAUCCAAGACACUUCUUCUCUGCCGGACUGGCCGCUUCCUGCUCAUUACUGAGCAAGGAGAGAAGGAUUGCAGGAACUGUGGAUGGAGUGUGUAGUUACAAAUAAUAAUUGCAUGUAUACUUCAUAUGAUGGAAAGCGGAUCGUGUUGAUGAUUCGUUCAAUAAAAGGAACAUAUGGGAUAUGCUAUUAUCCUCCAUUGUUGAAGUAUGAUAUCUUGCUUUUGUUGGCUAUAAAAAAUUACUCAACAGAAAUCAGAGAUAAUAAUACAAAUUAAAAAGAUACAAUGCAAAUCUCUUAAUCUUCUUAAGAACAUAAAGAUUACAUAAUCCACCAAUAGAGGUACACAGAAGUUUUAACCUAAUUUAAUAUGAUCAUAUCCACGUGAAUUCUUAAUAAUCUAUUGUAAUAUAAAAAAUAUUAUAAAGAACAUGAUAAGAUAUAAUGAUUAGAUUUCAAAAUAUCUUACAUUCUUUUCCAAAAUAUCUUAUUUUUUUCGAUUAAACUAAUGAUCCCCUCUUCCUCAUCUAAAAUAUUUAUAGAUAUUCUUAAUUUAUAAAAGUUCCAUUAUGAUGAUAUAUGAAUUUAAAAUAUGUUUUUUUUAAUGAUAUUAGGAAUUCGUGACAUUUUUAAGUGCAAAACAAACCGUACCCUUGACUUCUAUUCCCUUUCUAUGUAUGUGCGUAUCUCAUCCUUAAUUGAGUACAAUAUUUGUUCCCGCUGAUAUAACCAAAAAAAUCUUCAGCCUAUUGUUUGUAUGGGACGUCCAAAUUAUAUGAAUGGAACUAUAGCUCUGUUGGCUUUUAGCUGAUGUAGAUUGUCAGUACUAUUUGUUGCAAUUAGAAUUACCUGGAAAUUGAGAACACUAUUGUAAAAUACCAAAAUUACAUGAAUAUUGGUUAAAUAGUAAAAACAUACAUCAUUAUUGUAUGCUUGGUUUAUGCGGUUUGUGUGCAUAUCAUUCUCUUUAAACAAAUUGUCGGGUUACAACAAUAUGUUCGAAAAUAGAUCAUCCAAACGAGAGUUCUUAGGAUAGGUUAAUUGUGGAAUGUGAUGACAAAUAUUAUGAAAGAUUUUAUUUGCUCUCACUAAAUAUGAAUUGACUUUUGAUAAGACGAUCAAAAACUUGAUUCACAGGUUAGUAUUGUAUAAUAUAUUGAUAUAUUAUUAUCUUAUUUGUUAAAACUCACGUGCAACCCUAUAGAAGUUGGCUCAUGAGACAAAAUCAUGACUAAGCUUUAAUAUAAAUAUAACUAUGUAAGUAACUAAGGACAUUACCCAUAAGAAGUAAUUACCAUGAUAUACAUGAUCGCUUGGAUUUUUGUCGUUUAUUGGAUCAAAACAAAAUUUAUAACCUAAUUCACUAUUAUAUAACAAUUUGUACCCAAUCAAAAAGUGGUUUUAGUACAAACUACUGUAGUAUAGUGGUUUUUAGGUAUCGUCCACAAGGAUGGAUUAUUCUCGGUAAUUAAGACUUGAACGAGAUGAUAAGGAAUGAUGGUGAUCAAAUGAAAUUUACUUGAAAUUGCAUGAUAAAAUCUCAAGAUAGCAAUGUAUUCAAAUUGAAUUGAAAAUGAAGUGUAAAAGAGAAGAAAAUUAAUAAGAUGUGAGAUUCUCGGAGUAAGGAUUUUCUAGAGAGCAAUUUCCAUGGUGAAUAGAUGUUAAGAUCUAAUUUUCAUCAAGUUAGAUUGAAAACCUAAAUUUUCAUCUAAACCGAUUUUUGAUUUAGCUUUAGAUCUAGAUAUAAUUUCUCUUCAAAUUAGGUAAUCUAAUCCAAGAGAUCAAUUUGAAUCAUAUAUUCAAUUCAUCUUAAAUUAUCUUCCAAUGAUUCACACAAUGCAACUAUUCAAUUUCAUCAAAUCUAGCAUUAAGAAUUUGAUGAAUCUACCUAACUUGCAUUGUAGUAAUCAUCCAAGACAAUUUGAAGAGAAAAAUCCCCAAAUUUCAAUUAAUCAAUCAAUUGGAUCAAAUUACCUUAGCAAUUCAAGCUCAAUUCUCUAAUUCACCAUAGAUCUUGCCUCUAGAUCCUCCCUCCUCCGAGAAAAACGAGAUUUAGUCACUCAUGCUUGGAGAUUUGAUCUCACAAGGCAUGUUUGGCUACCGAGAAAAUAAGAGAAACUGAAGGAAAGUGGAGAAUUAUAUAGAGAGAAGAAGUAUGAAAAGUUCUACAAUUAGAAAAUGAAUCAAAAGUAAGGUUUUUAAAUGAGUAAAUCCCGUUUCUAUUUAUAGGCCAAGGUAAAAAGGACACUCAGCAACAUUUUAGAGGUCUUUCGGAUGCUUCUUCAUCAAGGAAUCUGGAAAGAAUGCAUUUUCGCACGAGCCCCUAGCAAUCUCGCAUGAUGGUGCGAAGUGGAGGAUCCAUCAGCUUCAAUUUCGUUCUUCUGGAGCAUUUCGCAUGAUUGUGCGAAAAUUUCGCAUGGUCAUGCGAAAUCACUUUUUCAUAAUUUCCCUAUGUGCUGCAGCCACAACCUUUCUAUUUCAUUUCGCAUGAUUGUGCGAAAAUUUCGCAUGAUUGUGUGAAAAUUUCGCAUGGUCAUGCGAAAUUGAAAAUCAUGCUAUUUCGGCUCCUCUUUGCAAUUUCUCUCAUUUCUUCAUGUUCAAUCCAUCUCCACCACCUUCAAUUAAGCUCCAAAUCCCAAUCCAAACUGAUUGCAUUGCUUCUUUCAUUAUGCAUUUGGAUCAUCAUCAACUUUAUUUGUUUUCUUCAAUUUGAUUAAUCUCUUUUGUCACCAAUUUAUCAAAAUUAUACCUUAAAAUGACUCCAAAACUUCAUAAAACUUGUUAGUAACUCUUGCAAGGGCAACAACAUGCUAAUUGAGUGUUUUAGGUAUAAUUACUACUCAAAAGAUGUGAAACUCAUGAGAAUUAUUAUCUAAAAUAUGCUCUUUUUGAGUAGUAAUCAUUCCCCCCAACCAACACAUGCUAGUCCCUUAGCAAUGGUAUAACAAAAGAAAACAAAAAUAAUACCAAACAAAAGAAAUCAUAAGUCACAUAAGAAAAUCAUUUGAAAAAAAAAAAUCUUUGAAAUUUCCAUAGCAUAAAUGGUUGAUAAACAAGCACACCCUACUAUCCAUAGGUAUCAACAAAAUCCCAACUUAUUUACUAUCUCUAAUAGAAAGAAUAUCAUGGAAGUCAAGGUAUCAAAAACAUAUCCAUUUUCAUUUCCCAAACAAUCUUUCCAAACAAGUCUUGAGUGUAAUUAAGCUAACUCCCGAAUAUAGUACUCAAAACUAAUCCUCCCCCCCAGCCUAACUCAAAUUAUCUCAAACAACAAAAAUCACUCUCUCAUAGGUCAAGAACGCACCUAUCUUUAUUUUAUUAUUUUUUUUUUCAAAGGACUUAUUGUAGGAGUGCAAUGCUAAAGGUAUCUCCAAGUAUAUGGUCCAUGUAGCGGGGAUUCAUCGAUGACUCCCAACCAUAAGGCAUAGGGCACCAAGUUUAUAGGACUAUUUAACCAGCCACUAACUUCUCAGACUUCACCCCGGACUCCUCAAAUUAGGAUCCAAUACCUUAGCACCUACAAUUGAGCUCAUACUCCACCUAUCCACCCAUGUAACAAGCAUUGAGGUCGGUGGCUCCCAACCAAAAUGGCUUAGGGCACCAGGCUUUAAAGACCUUUGGGCCAUAUACCCCUCGGACCUUGCUCAGGUUUCAAGGCAAGCAUAACUCAACCUUUUUAUUCAUCAACUUUUUUUUUUUCAAUUGGCCAUAUUGGCCUCUUUUUAAGGUGUCUCAACUCAAUUCAAGAGUAAUCAAUGUUACAAGACAAUUAAGUCCAAGUCUUAAGGUUAGAAUAGUUUUUCAUCUUAUAUCCGGGGUCUAAAGUGCACAGUAUGUGUCAAGACUCAAAUAGAAAUGACCCUUUGGAAAGUGAAGACUUCAAAGUCAAAUCAACUUUAAUUCACAUAACCAAUCUUCUAAGAUCAAGCAAAUAAGCUAGUAUUCUAAAUCAACUUUUUCCAAGUUAGGUUUGCUCAUUUAUCAAUCACAAAUGCUAUAGUCAUCUAAAAAAAAAUCUCACCAAAUAAGUCACAAAUGUGAUUUAUGAAAAAAAAAAAUUAUAGAAAAACUAAUAAAACUAAUAACAUAUUUCCUUCUCUUCAUUUUUAACCCUCCCCCCAACCUAACUUGUACAUUGUCCUCAAUGUGUAAUGAAAAUAUACAAAGAAAGGAAGGGAAGAUACCUCAAUCUCUCAUGAAUUUCAGCUUCAAUAGCUAAAACAAAAAUAAGACCACAAAUGAGAAUUGUCGGAUAUAAAUGACAUAAGAGAAGAAAAUAUGAAAACAAAUCUAUUAAAAACCAAAAAAAAACUAUGUUAGAAACACAAUGUAUGGAGUAAAAUCAAGGUAUAGAUGAUGACAAUGUCCAAAGAAAACAUGAUUUCAAUGAUAAGUUAAAGAUUAUCAUGGAGUUUUUGAAAAUUUCACACAAGUGUGCAAACUAGACAAGAAGGUGAAGUGUGUUGCAACCACUUUCUUCUUUUGAAAGAACUUGGCACAAUCAUGCGGAAAUUUGCAUGUACAUGCGAAUUAGUCAAGAAAGUUCUAUCUUAUUAUAACCUUCAACAAAAUUUCACAUAGUCAUGCAAAAAUUCGCAUGCUGAUGCGAAAUGCUCAAAAGGGUUCAUUUUUGCAACUAUCAUUUUCAGUUUUUGCACAGUCAUGCGAAAAUUUCGCAUGACUAUGCAAAUUGUGAUAGAAACUCAUUUUGCACAUUUCCAAAGGUAUGAAAACUCCCCUGUUUUGGCAUGAAAACUCCUCUGUUUUGGCAUGAUUCCCCUUGGCAUGACUGUGCUGUUUUGGCAUGACUGUGCAAAAAUGGUGAUGGACCAUAAAAACUCAUUUUUCCUUUGCUUCAUGCAUUCCAUCCAUCCGGAAAGUCCUUCAAAACACAAAUCAAAGAAUUGAGAUGAAUUUAUUUAAUGGAAACUAAAAAAAAUCAAAAUAAAAUAAAAAAAUCAAAAUUCAAAGGAGACUAAAGAAAUGAGAAGCCAUUGGGCUAGCUAGCCAUUGACAUGACUAAGCCCAUUAACAUUUGCAUCAAUACUCAAUUUGGAUAUGGCUUGCAAACAAUGAAUGGACCAACUCCUUGGUACUUAAGCUUUCCCGGAAAAAUAUGUGGCUUGAAAUAGCCUUCUUUGAACUUGUUCUUUUGUAUAAGUUGGUCAUGCCAUUCCUUGAGUUUCUUUUUCAUGGUCUUUGGAUUAUUUUUCAUACCAUGCUUCAUGGUUUUCACUUUCUUGAAACUGAAAGACCAUUUCAUUAACUUCAAAGGUUGAAUUUCUUCAUUGAUCCUCCAAACUUCAAUCCGUUCAUUGGAAAUUACUUCACCAAGUUUUGAAAAAUUAUCUUCAACCUUUUCUUUCACUAGCUCUUCCAUAGGCAAUUCAAUCAAAUAAGCCUCCUUAAGUUCCUCAUCCUCUUUGGUACCAUGCUUCUUAUAUGAAUGAAAAAUGUUCAGCUCAAUUGUCCUGUUACCAAAGGUAAGUUGCAUCACUCCACUUUGACAAUUAAUCAAUGCAUUUGCUGUGGCAAGGAAAGGUCAGCCAAGUAUAAUAGGAACAUGGUUGAGUCCACUAGUUCCUUGUUCCGUAUCAAGCACCACAAAAUCAACCAGAUAAUAGAAGUUAUCGAUUUGGAUCAACACAUCUUCAAUAAUUCCUCUUGGAAACUUAACCGAUCUAUCCGCCAAUGAAAGUGUGAUGGAAGUAGACUUUAGUUCUCCAAGCCCCAAUUGCUUAUAUAUCGAGUAAGGAAGAAGAUUCACACAUGCACCCAAGUUUAAAAGUACUCUUUUCACAAAAGUGUUGCCAAUCUUCACUGAGAUAGUUGGACAUCCCGGAUCCUUAUACUUGAUUGGAGUCUUGCAUUGGAUGAUUGCACUAACUUGUUCAGUCAAUAAAGCUUUCUUUUUCAAAUGCAUCCCUCUCUUUAUGGUACACAAAUCCUUAAGAAACUUGGCAUAGGUUGGAACUUGUCUUAUCAUGUCAAGGAGUGGUAUAUUAACUUUGACUUGCUUGAGAACUUCAAAAAUUUCUGGAGCAUUAUUUACCACUUUCUUGGAUUGAAGAGCCAUGGGAAAAGGUGGAGCUAAGAGCAUAUCUUUCUUCUUAACCUCUUCUUUAACAAUCUCAUCUUCCUUUGAUCUAUUAUCAUCAUUCACCUCUUUUCCUUUUUCUUGUUCUUUCACAUUUUCCUUUUGUUCCCCUCUUUUAUUCUCUUUUGGUUUUGGCAUAGGUUGAUCAACUUGCUUACCACCUCUUAAGGUAAUGACUGCUUUGACUUCAUCCUUCUCAAUAGAACUUUCACUUGUCUCUCCAAUUUCAUGGACUCCACUUGGAUUUUGUUGGGGUUGUGAAGAGAAUUUUCCUUUUUCUUGCACCGUAUGCAUGCUUGUGAGUUUAGAAAUAACAAGUUGCAUAUUAUCAAUCUUUUGUGUGAGAUUGGUUUGCAAGCUAUCAAAUUUCUGAUUGAAAGAUGUCUCCACAUGAUCUAUCAUUUGGUUUACUUGAGUAUUGAUAUUCUUUUGAUCACCAAUAAAAUUUCCCAAAAUUUUACUCAAGUUUACAAUAGCUUGCUCAACUAAAGAAACUUGUUGUGGAGAGUCUUCCAUGAAUUGUUGGCUUUGUGAGUGUUGCCUUGAAGAAAAUUGCUCUUGUUCACAAUUCCAUGACAUGUUCAGAUGACUCUCAACAAGUCUUUCCCCCAUGGUUGGUAUUGUAGGACAAUCACUCACUUCAUGUUCUAUAGAUUGAUAACUAGAACAUUGUUCCAUGUAAAUUGGAUUAUCAUAUAUUGCAUUCACCUCAUGAAAUCCCUUAGCUUCAAGUUCCUCUAGCCUUUUUGUCAAAGCUACUAUUUUAGCUUGUAGAUCAACAUCUUCAUUCAACAUAUACAUUCUCCCUUUUGAAUUGCUUUGAGACUUAGACUUGUGUAAAUCCCUUUCAUGUGGUUCAUCCCAUGACCUUGAUAUUUCAGCCACAUAAUUCAAAAAUUCAAAAGCUUCAUCGGGACUUUUGCUCAUAAAGUCACCUCCACACAUGGUUUCUAGCAAUUGCUUCAUAGUUGGCGACAUGCCCUCAUAGAAGUAACUCACCAACAUCCAUGUGUCAAAACCAUGAUGAGGACAAGCAUUGAUUACUUCCAUAUAUCUUUCCCAACAAGUAUAAAAUUUUUCAUUGUCCAAUGUCACAAAGUUGGUAAUUUGCCUCUUCAAGCCACUUGUGCGAUGUAUGGGAAAAAAUUUCUUCAAGAAGGUUGUUUGUAGUUCCAACCAUGACCUUAUGCUUUGGGGCCUCAAUGAGUUGAACCACAACUUAGCCUUAUCCUUCGAUGUGAAUGGAAAAAGCUUCAAUCUCAUAAGCUCUAUGGAUGCAGUCCCUUCUUGAAAAGUAUGACAAACUUCUUCAAAAUCCUUUAUGUGAGUAUAAGGAUUCUCAUUCUCCACUCCAUGAAAUUGAGGUAGAAGGGGUACCAAGUGAGUUUUUAUCACAAUAGGCUCAUUAGGAAGAACUAUACAUGAUCCCAUGCCUAUCCUUUGAGGAUGCAUAUAUUCUCUCAUUGAUCUAGACAUGUGAGAAUUGCAAAUGUUUGGUCCUUGUUGAGUUUGUUGAUUUUCCCCUUGAUUUUCCAUUUCCUCAACAAUUGGAUCACAAACCAAAAAUGAUUAGCAAUAUAAGUCCUUUUCAAUCUCUCCCUUGAGUUUUAUUCUAGCAUGCAAUGGAGAGCCUACAAAACAAGCUAGGAAAAAUCAAACCAAAACAAAAAGAACAAAAUAGAAAAAUAAAAGAUAAAAAAUGGAAUAAAAAAAUAAUUAAAAAACAUGGAGAAUCGGUAAAGAGAACUUCACCAAUCUUGUGAUGUGGAUCACAAGGGCUAAUCCUCACCAAAGAAAAUGCCUCAAUCACCUUGGCACCAUCCCCGGCAACGGCGCCAUUUUUGAUCGCUCGGAUUUUUGUCGUUUAUUGGAUCAAAACAAAAUUUAUAACCUAAUUCACUAUUCUAUAGCAAUUUGUACCCGAUCAAAAAGUGGUUUUAGUACAAACUACUGUAGUAUAGUGGUUUUUAGGUAUCGUCCACAAGGAUGGAUUAUUCUCGGUAAUUAAGGCUUGAACGAGAUGAUAAGGAAUGAUGGUGAUCAAAUGAAAUUUACUUGAAAUUGCAUGAUAAAAUCUCAAGAUAGCAAUGUAUUCAAAUUGAAUUGAAAAUGAAGUGUAAAAGAGAAGAAAAUUAAUAAGAUGUGAGAUUCUUGGAGUUAGGAUUUUCUAGAGAGCAAUUUCCAUGAUGAAUAGAUGUUAAGAUCUAAUUUUCAUCAAGUUAGAUUGAAAACCUAAAUUUUCAUCUAAACCGAUUUUUGAUUUAGCUUUAGAUCUAGAUCUAAUUUCUCUUCAAAUUAGGUAAUCUAAUCCAAGAGAUCAAUUUGAAUCAUAUAUUCAAUUCAUCUUAAAUUAUCUUCCAAUGAUUCACACAAUGCAACUAUUCAAUUUCAUCAAAUCUAGCAUUAAGAAUUUAAUGAAUCUACCUAACUUGCAUUGUAGUAAUCAUCCAAGACAAUUUGAAGAGAAAAAUCCCCAAAUUUCAAUUAAUCAAUCAAUUGGAUCAAAUUACCUUAGCAAUUCAAGCUCAAUUCUCUAAUUCACCAUAGAUCUUGCCUCUAGAUCCUCCCUCCUCCGAGAAAAACGAGAUUUAGCCACUCAUGUUUGAAGAUUUGAUCUCACAAGACAUGUUUGGCUAUCGAGAAAAUAAGAGAAACUGAAGGAAAGUGGAGAAUUAUAUAGAGAGAAGAAGUAUGAAAAGUUCUACAAUUAGAAAAUGAAUCAAAAGUAAGGUUCUUAAAUGAGUAAAUCUCGUUUCUAUUUAUAGGCCAAGGUAAAAAGGACACUCAGCAACAUUUUAGAGGUCUUUCGGAUGCUUCUUCAUCAAGGAAUCUGGAAAGAAUGCAUUUUCGCACGAGCCUCUAGCAAUCUCGCAUGAUGGUGCGAAGUGGAGGAUCCAUCAGCUUCAAUUUCGUUCUUCUGGAGCGUUUCGCAUGACUAUGCGAAAAUUUCGCAUGGUCAUGCGAAAUCACUUUUUCAUAAUUUCCCUAUGUGCUGUAGCCACAACCUUUCUGUUUCAUUUCGCAUUAUUGUGCGAAAAUUUCGCAUUGUCAUGCGAAAUCGAAAAUCAUGUUAUUCUGGCUCCUCUUUGCAAUUUCUCUCAUUUCUUCAUGUUUAAUCCAUCUCCACCACCUUCAAUUAAGCUCCAAAUCCCAAUCCAAACUGAUUGCAUUGCUUCUUUCAUUAUGCAUUUGGAUCAUCAUCAACUUUAUUUGUUUUCUUCAAUUUGAUUAAUCUCUUUUGUCACCAAUUUAUCAAAAUUAUACCUUGAAAUGACUCCAAAACUUCAUAAAACCUGUUAGUAACUCUUGCAAGGGCAACAACAUGCUAAUUGAGUGUUUUAGGCAUAAUUACUACUCAAAAGAUGUGAAACUCAUGAGAAUUAUUAUCUAAAAUAUGCUCUUUUUGAGUAGUAAUCAAUACAUAAUUGUUCAUUACCAAGGAUUUAAGCAUGUGGGUGAUCACAUAAUACGUUAUAAAGUAAAGUUGUGUCACUCACAUCAUAUAAUUAGCUUAACAAUCACAUCACAUAAUUACUUUAACAGUUGUCAUGUCUUUAUUCCAUUGGACAUUCUCUUCUCCAAAGAGAAGCACUCUGAUAUGUCUUUCUUUAAUUUUCUCUCUUCCUUAUGAUAAAAUUUGAAGCCAUGUUGAUAAAAAUAGAAAGAAAGAAAGGGAUUCUUCUAUCUAUAAUCCAGCUAGAAUAUUGAAGUAAAAGUUUUGUGCAACGUGGGUCAAAUUGAGCAUGCACUAGAGGUGAUACAUGUUAUAUACCCCCAUGAAUUCAAAUUUAAGUUUUCCUUCCAACCAAUUUCAUUAAGAAUAGUUAUAUUCAAGUAGUGGAAUAUUGGAAGUACAUUCAAUAUUUUCAAUUAUUAUAUAAUUAUAUAUGUGAAAUAUUAUUAAAAUAUGCACUAGGUAGUGGCAUAUGUGCAUUUCAAUUUCAAUAAUAUUUAUAUGAUUGAUAUAUGUUAUGCUCAUUAUCGCGAUUGCUUAGUAAAACAUAUUAUAGCUUGAAAUAAUUUAUACAUCAAAAUUACUAGCUACACGUGAAUACAGAAACACUAAGCUUCUAAUUUUCUUUAUUUCAAAUCAAUCGAUUUCUUCUUAUGGGUCAGAUAUUCAGUGUUUCGAGACUAUGACCCAUUUCACCUUAUGAUCAGAGCAGUACCAUAGCUAUAUCCAUAUCCUGAUUUUGUAGACUUGAUGACCUACCCAUUUUGAGCCUGACAUGACACCACACAUUAGUACCAUUAUAUGACCUUACCAUCGUUGUUCAUGUUAGCAUACUAUAGUACCAUUGCCUAUUCUUUCCAUCUUUUCUUUGAUCUAACCAAGUAGAGUCCGAGAUGGUUAGACCUGAGGUGAGCUCUACAUGAUGAUAAAUGGAUCAUGAUGAAAGAGUGGUUUGACUGUUUGAUGAUAUUGCUGAGACAGAGGGGUUAUCAUGGAGCAUCCAGAUUUGAGCCAUUACACAUGACUUCAGAGAGUCGAGAUGACUAAAGAUAGUGAUUUUAUGAGACGAUGGUGAGUGACUUAUGAUGAUAGAGUGAGGUGAUUGUCAAAGAGCUUUGAUGAUUAUCACAAAGCAUCAGUGGGAGCUUUCACACUAUUUCAAAGAAGUUGACAUGACUAUGUUUGAUAGAUGUUAGUCUUUAGUAUUGACCAUGUGAGAUCUUGAGGGUGUGAUGUCUCUGGUUGUGGUUAAAUGAUGGGUGGCCAUUGUUUCAUGAGCUCAUUUACCCUAUUUACUUUAUCACCAUCGCAUAUAGAGUUACCUGUUGCUAACCCUUUGAGCCUCACACGAGCACCAUAGACUUUAAUUUCAUCACUUCAUUUACAUAUUACAUCGGGUUGGGGACCCUAUAGUGUUUACAUGCUUUGAUUAGAUACGUCACAAGUUUUAGACCUGACAUACAUAUUCAGGCCUUAUCUCUCACCCUUCAUUGUAAUAUUUUCCACUUUGACACUAUCUCGUCACUUUUUCCAGCAUCACUUAUCACCACUUAUGAUAUUCAUUCUCUAUCUUUUCUCUAAUCAUUGUUUAAUCGACAUUAUCCUUGUUUCACCUUGAGUGGUGGUUUUUCACACGUCAUUGCAUGGAGGAUUGUCACAUUUUUUUCCCCCGUUCACCCCAUGGGCAGUGGUUCAAAGAUCUCAGUUUGGGAGGUUGUCUUGUUAGUGAGGAUUCAUGUUACAUCCAUAUGUGGAGAGGGUUUGAUCAUUUGGGUAUGUAUUUUCAUUGGAGGUCAUUCAUUAUUGAUCAAAGUAUGCGCAAAAAAAAAACAAAAAACAAAAAACAAAACAAAACAAAGAAUAUAAAAGAUAGCACAUUCUUCAUUGUAUCGUUUUCCAUUGACCACAUGUAUGGAUGUGUUGGUUUGCUUCAUUGAGUUUAUGCGUUAGAGAGAGUUCAUAUGGGAGUUUCUUUUUUAGAUUCUAUCUUAGUAUAUAUUUGGGUUAGAGUAUGAGUCACCCAUUCGAUUUUCGUGAGAGGCAAGCUACAUUUUUUUAGGAUUUCUGGAUUUUUACCCUAUUCGUCAUUACAUCCAUUUUUAUGUGACUACUUUCCAUGUUUAGAUGUAGAUUGACCAUCACUCACUUUCCUAUUUUUUUUGUCUUCUUAUAUCUUUAUUUUAUUCUUUCAUUUCACUCUACUUUAUCUGAUUUCUUUAUUUUAUCAUCCUACUUGAUGUUUGACUUGGGUUCAACAUCCACACUUUAUUCUUGCUUAUUUGAUAUGUCAUUUAUUUAUUAUCAUUUUUCAUGUGGGAAUCCUUAUGUCUGUGACUCAUAAUGUUUUCUACGCAUUGCGUCUCAUGCAUGAGGGGUAUGGGGAUUAUAUCAUUGGGAUUAUUGAGCCUAGUUUCCUCUUGUUUCUUUCACCCUAUUACCUUAGCCUACGUUACGUCCCAUGUCUUAAGACCACCCUGAGGUCGUCACUUCACACAUUGUACUUGACAACUCACACAUGGGCAAUACUUGAGAUUGGUUGGAGAUUAUUUCUUAAAGCAUGAUGAAUGAGGAGCUAUGAUAUGAUUUACAUUGGGGUAUACCCCGCUCAUCGAUGACAGUUUCUUUUGGGAUGAUAUCUUGCACUGGGGCAUAGUUAGUUACUUCUUCACUUGGAUUGUGAUGGAUUGAGAGUUAUGGAAUGACCCUACACUAGGACAUUUUCAGAGAGCACUUUUAUUGGAGAUACAGUCACUCUACUUGAUACUCUACAUUGGGACACAUUCCUCUCAUCAAUGGUUGAUUGUUGAGAUGACGGUUUAUUUUGAGACACGGUUGCUUUAGAGAUUGUGUAUGAUGGACACAACCACUCUGUUAUUUUUAUGGAGGACAGGGUGAUUAGGAUUUGUUUAUAUUAUAUUUGUAUUUUCAUUUUCAACAUUAAGUGAUAAGAUUGACCUUGUUCUAAGGACACAUACUGAGACAUAGCUCUUUCAUUGAUGAUGGACUUUGAUUUAUCUUGGAGCAUGAUCACUUCAAAUAGUUUAUACUAGGACAUAGCCACUUCAUUCUCAUUCAUAGAGCACAUGGAUUUUGAUUCAUAUGAGUUUUUUCUUCUGAUUAUCAAUUAUUAUACUUAAUGAAUAUUGUUUGAUCUUCGUUUUGUCCUUUGAUAUGCAUGUGAUAAUUUUAUACUUGAGCUAACCUUGUUUCCAUGAUAGCGCAUUAUUAUUUGCUGUUAAGAUAUGCUCCCACUCCUACUUCACUUAUUUAUUCGUUCUCAUCCUCGAUUUGUUUUAUUAUUCAAUCAUUUUAUUAGUAUCCAUCGAUUUCCUUAUCAAUUGUCACGUUUGUUUAACCUUAUUUAGUAUAGACCCAUUUUUAGAGGCUUAGAGGGGUGUUAUGGUCUUUAUCGUACCUUUGCAAUAAGCAACCUGACCUCCGAACCCAGGUUUGGUUUUUCACAAACCGUCUUUUCCAAAUAAGAAGUCACACUUAAGGUUUUUUUUUUUCCCUUAAAAUAAAAUAAAAUUAAAUUAAGUGGCGAUUCCAAAUCUUUUCUAAAAAAAAACCAUAUUUUUCAAUAAAUAAAAAAAAUGAGUUUGUCAUUGAGUAGGAACGCAUCGAGCAAAAAUAUGGGAUCCACAUCAACCCAUCUACCCAAAAAAUAAUAUAUAUAUAUAUAUAUAUAUAUAUUUGAAGUAAAUUUUUAUUAUUAUUUUACACUCUCCAAAUAAUUUCUUUAUCUUAUAUCUAAAUUUAUUUCUAUGUACUCAAUUUUAUAUUUUUGUAAUUAAAUCUUAUGCAUUUGUAUCAUCAUUCAACAUUUAGAUUUAAUCAUAUACUUGAGCAUAGUUAUAGACUUCAAAAUUUGUUUUAAAUUUAUUUUUUUAAAUCAAAUUUUCAUAAAUAAAAGUGAAUCUUGUUGGGUACGCAUGUAAAAAACACAAAUCCAUAAUUUCGUAGAUAUACAAAUUGGGCAAAUAUUUCUUUUUCCUAAAAGAAAAUGGUAUACUUUUACCAAAUGGAACAUUCCAAUUUCUUCUAUAAAAUAUAGUCGAUUCUCUUACACUAAUCAAAAUUAAAGAUAUUUUACUGUAAUGUUUCACGCUUGCUUGAGAUUGGAUCAAUUUUUCACUUACACAUUUUUAUUUUUUCAAAGAUGCCCUUAGAUUAAUGCAUGCGAAUGUGUACAAUCAACUGCGCAGACAUUCCAUGUUAACAAAAGUCAAGAAGAUAGGCUAGUUGAAAAUAAGUGCGUCCAUAACGGUUUCUAAGACUCAUACGGUGUUUGUUUUUUUAAUUUUUUAUAAAAAUUAAUUUUUAAAAAAAAAUUAGAUUGUUUAUUUUUUUACUUUUUCAUAACUUAUUAUAAACUUUGUACUAAAUAGAAAAAAUCAAAAUAUAUAAUUUUUUCUAAAUAGAAAAAAUAACAUAUUAGUUUUUUUUUUACUUUUUAAUACUUAAUAAAAAUAAAAUAUUAUAAAAACAAACAACCUAAUAUUUAACACUAUUAACCAUUAAAGUUCUAUUUAAAAUUAAGUAAAAAAACAAAUAUCAUUUUAGUGUUCAGAUAAAUGGAGACAGACCCACCGCGUGUAAUGGGCAAUUGGGCGCACCAAAUUUGUAAUCCUAAGGCCUAACACCAAGUUCUGUGUUGACCUAUUAUACUUGUCAAAUGGAUGUAUGUCGAUAUGAGAAAUGUUUUUAAAAAUAAUUUUGAGAAACAAAAUUUUAGAAUAAUUUUUAAAUAUUGUGCUAUAAUAUUUUAUAAAGUAGAAGUUUGUUUAGAAGCCCUAAAAUAUUUUUACUUCCGAUGUAUGUAACACUUAAAUUUUUUUAUUAAAAUAAUUAUUUUCAAAUAUUAAAAAUAUUAAAAACAUCUCCUAAAAUCAAUAUCAAACAUAUUUUAAAUAUGUUUUAAAAUGUAAUUUUGCAUAUAAUAUUUUAUAUUUUUAUUAUUAGUAUUUAUAUAAUUACUUUUAAAAUAGUUUUUAAAAAAUAAUUAAAAAUAAUUAAAAUAUUUUAUUUAAAAAUACCUUAUAAAAAACUUUGUCCCUUUUUCAUUAAAGAAUAGAAAAUUAUUCUAUAAACAUAGUAAACAAAGUGGUCUGAAUGCCCAGAUUGUCGCCCUAUUUUGGAAUUAUGAUGGGCGGCCUUUCUGUGGCAGCAGGAGGCUCAGUGGGCGGAAUGGAGCCCAUUUUGCAAGCAGGCCACAAAGUCGUUUGCUUUUCGUGAUUGUACUAGAAAUUUCUCUUGAUUUGAUGGCAAGAAAUCAUUGGUUUCAUUUCAAAUAUAUAAUCACGAGAAUAAGGUUUUGGAAAAUUAGACAUUUGUGAAGAUAUAAAUACAUAAAAUUUUAUCAGAAAUUGGUAGUUAAAAAAUGUUAUUAAAAAAAAGGAGGGGAAAAUAUUGAUGGAGUUGAAGGCGACAGAACCUGGCCUAAUUUCAUAAGUCUUCAAAUUCUAUGCAACUUGAGUGUCUCCAAAAUUUAGAAUUUAAAAAUUCGUCCCAAGCCUAACUUUUGUUUACUUAAUUAAUCAAACGUCUGCCGUGCUAUUAGACCAUCCAACCUCCAUCCUCCCUAUAAAUACCCUCAAAUCUUCAAACCAAGACCAUUCACAUUUUCACAUCUCCCCUCACUCCCCUCCUCUUCUCUUCUUCGUCUCGAUCCUCUCCCCAGCAUGAAGUCCCUAAAGCUCGUUAUUCUCAUGCUGGCCCUGCUCUUGGUCAUGGUUGCUAUACGCUCAGUCUCAUCAGCUAAAGAAGAAGACUUCAUGUUUGAUCUAGACCAGGAUGACAGCAUCGCUGCUGAAGCUGAAAAUUCUGAUCAACUUCCAUUACUUGAAAGCGAGCAGCCGAUAUCGCUUAGGGGGACUAGCCGCUUUCUGACGGAGGCGGCCCGGAUCAAGGUGACGUGCGACAAGUACCCUACAGUAUGCUUAGCCAAGGGAAGUGCAGGGAAGUACUGCUGCAAGAAGAAGUGUGUGAAUGUGAGGACGGACAGGCUCAACUGUGGGGCGUGUGGGAAGAAGUGUAGGUACUCUGAGAUUUGCUGCAAAGGUAAGUGCGUCAACCCUUCUUCAGACAGGAGGAAUUGUGGGGGCUGCGGCAAGAAGUGUCAGAAAGGGAGUCUCUGCGUGCAUGGGAUGUGCAGCUACUCGUAGAUUUCUGAGCAUUGUUGCUUUACAUGGUAAAAUUUCUAUAUUCACGUAACUAUGGCGAGCCAUCACCAUUUGAUGGGCUUGCAAAUCCGAGUUUUUUUUUUUUUUUUUUCUGAUUCUUCGUGAGGUCUUUACUGGUAUAGAUGACAACAAUAAGCCAGUUCACAGUACCUGAAAUCCAAGACACUUCUUCUCUACCGGACUGGCCGCUUCCUGCUCAUUACUGAGCAAGGAGAGAAGGAUUGCAGGAACUGUGGAUGGAGUGUGUAGUUACAAAUAAUAAUUGCAUGUAUACUUCAUAUGAUGGAAAGCGGAUCGUGUUGAUGAUUCGUUCAAUAAAAGGAACAUAUGGGAUAUGCUAUUAUCCUCCAUUGUUGAAGUAUGAUAUCUUGCUUUUGUUGGC